rnacentral:lncRNA from 1 species
GAAUUAGCAAUUGAAGAACUAGGAUCAAGGACCAUCUUAUUAUCUGAAAAAGGGGUCCACCACGAAGCGCUUACAAAUUGAUCAGAGUUAACUUAUUGCAAUCCAUGUACAAGGAGUCUACAAAUUAACUAAAAUAAAGCAACUGCGACAUGAUUACAGAACUGCAACUAUUGGUCAAGGGACACAACACAACCAUACCAAUGGAAAAUGACCAUGAUGUUGAAAGUGAUGAAAAAUCUCAUCUGCUCCCUGUAAAUCACCCCCUUCAAAUCAUCUAAUGAGAAGCUCCGGCAAAGGAACUCAAUGAACUGAUCACAGAUUCGUAAACCUUGAUUCCUUUCAGGUAUAUGGUGUCCUUAAGGAACUGUAGAACAUAGUUAAGUAAGAAAAGAACCAANNNNNNNNNNNNNNNNNNNNNNNNNNNNNNNNNNNNNNNNNNNNNNNNNNNNNNNNNNNNNNNNNNNNNNNNNNNNNNNNNNNNNNNNNNNNNNNNNNNNNNNNNNNNNNNNNNNNNNNNNNNNNNNNNNNNNNNNNNNNNNNNNNNNNNNNNNNNNNNNNNNNNNNNNNNNNNNNNNNNNNNNNNNNNNNNNNNNNNNNNNNNNNNNNNNNNNNNNNNNNNNNNNNNNNNNNNNNNNNNNNNNNNNNNNNNNNNNNNNNNNNNNNNNNNNNNNNNNNNNNNNNNNNNNNNNNNNNNNNNNNNNNNNNNNNNNNNNNNNNNNNNNNNNNNNNNNNNNNNNNNNNNNNNNNNNNNNNNNNNNNNNNNNNNNNNNNNNNNNNNNNNNNNNNNNNNNNNNNNNNNNNNNNNNNNNNNNNNNNNNNNNNNNNNNNNNNNNNNNNNNNNNNNNNNNNNNNNNNNNNNNNNNNNNNNNNNNNNNNNNNNNNNNNNNNNNNNNNNNNNNNNNNNNNNNNNNNNNNNNNNNNNNNNNNNNNNNNNNNNNNNNNNNNNNNNNNNNNNNNNNNNNNNNNNNNNNNNNNNNNNNNNNNNNNNNNNNNNNNNNNNNNNNNNNNNNNNNNNNNNNNNNNNNNNNNNNNNNNNNNNNNNNNNNNNNNNNNNNNNNNNNNNNNNNNNNNNNNNNNNNNNNNNNNNNNNNNNNNNNNNNNNNNNNNNNNNNNNNNNNNNNNNNNNNNNNNNNNNNNNNNNNNNNNNNNNNNNNNNNNNNNNNNNNNNNNNNNNNNNNNNNNNNNNNNNNNNNNNNNNNNNNNNNNNNNNNNNNNNNNNNNNNNNNNNNNNNNNNNNNNNNNNNNNNNNNNNNNNNNNNNNNNNNNNNNNNNNNNNNNNNNNNNNNNNNNNNNNNNNNNNNNNNNNNNNNNNNNNNNNNNNNNNNNNNNNNNNNNNNNNNNNNNNNNNNNNNNNNNNNNNNNNNNNNNNNNNNNNNNNNNNNNNNNNNNNNNNNNNNNNNNNNNNNNNNNNNNNNNNNNNNNNNNNNNNNNNNNNNNNNNNNNNNNNNNNNNNNNNNNNNNNNNNNNNNNNNNNNNNNNNNNNNNNNNNNNNNNNNNNNNNNNNNNNNNNNNNNNNNNNNNNNNNNNNNNNNNNNNNNNNNNNNNNNNNNNNNNNNNNNNNNNNNNNNNNNNNNNNNNNNNNNNNNNNNNNNNNNNNNNNNNNNNNNNNNNNNNNNNNNNNNNNNNNNNNNNNNNNNNNNNNNNNNNNNNNNNNNNNNNNNNNNNNNNNNNNNNNNNNNNNNNNNNNNNNNNNNNNNNNNNNNNNNNNNNNNNNNNNNNNNNNNNNNNNNNNNNNNNNNNNNNNNNNNNNNNNNNNNNNNNNNNNNNNNNNNNNNNNNNNNNNNNNNNNNNNNNNNNNNNNNNNNNNNNNNNNNNNNNNNNNNNNNNNNNNNNNNNNNNNNNNNNNNNNNNNNNNNNNNNNNNNNNNNNNNNNNNNNNNNNNNNNNNNNNNNNNNNNNNNNNNNNNNNNNNNNNNNNNNNNNNNNNNNNNNNNNNNNNNNNNNNNNNNNNNNNNNNNNNNNNNNNNNNNNNNNNNNNNNNNNNNNNNNNNNNNNNNNNNNNNNNNNNNNNNNNNNNNNNNNNNNNNNNNNNNNNNNNNNNNNNNNNNNNNNNNNNNNNNNNNNNNNNNNNNNNNNNNNNNNNNNNNNNNNNNNNNNNNNNNNNNNNNNNNNNNNNNNNNNNNNNNNNNNNNNNNNNNNNNNNNNNNNNNNNNNNNNNNNNNNNNNNNNNNNNNNNNNNNNNNNNNNNNNNNNNNNNNNNNNNNNNNNNNNNNNNNNNNNNNNNNNNNNNNNNNNNNNNNNNNNNNNNNNNNNNNNNNNNNNNNNNNNNNNNNNNNNNNNNNNNNNNNNNNNNNNNNNNNNNNNNNNNNNNNNNNNNNNNNNNNNNNNNNNNNNNNNNNNNNNNNNNNNNNNNNNNNNNNNNNNNNNNNNNNNNNNNNNNNNNNNNNNNNNNNNNNNNNNNNNNNNNNNNNNNNNNNNNNNNNNNNNNNNNNNNNNNNNNNNNNNNNNNNNNNNNNNNNNNNNNNNNNNNNNNNNNNNNNNNNNNNNNNNNNNNNNNNNNNNNNNNNNNNNNNNNNNNNNNNNNNNNNNNNNNNNNNNNNNNNNNNNNNNNNNNNNNNNNNNNNNNNNNNNNNNNNNNNNNNNNNNNNNNNNNNNNNNNNNNNNNNNNNNNNNNNNNNNNNNNNNNNNNNNNNNNNNNNNNNNNNNNNNNNNNNNNNNNNNNNNNNNNNNNNNNNNNNNNNNNNNNNNNNNNNNNNNNNNNNNNNNNNNNNNNNNNNNNNNNNNNNNNNNNNNNNNNNNNNNNNNNNNNNNNNNNNNNNNNNNNNNNNNNNNNNNNNNNNNNNNNNNNNNNNNNNNNNNNNNNNNNNNNNNNNNNNNNUUCUGUUCCACCAAGGGAAACUCAUGACAUGUGAAACUGAUGUAGAUGGACAGGAAAUGAUGACAGCUCGCUGGCAACAUCAUUUUCAUCUCCUUGAUUUUGCGGUCCAGUCGAUGUUCGCCCACCUAUAUAGAGCAACUUUCUGCUCCAAUAAAAGUUCUGUCCUUAGGAACUUACCAAUGGAGAAGCUGACGCACGCGAAGGAGAAAAACUGCAGCUCGUUUGCAACAUCAUCUUCAACUCCUCGCUUUUGUGAUCCCACCAGCAUUGCUCUCUUCCAAAUCUAAUUUGGAACUUUGUCCACAUAUCCUUUUGGGAUUUUGAUUUUAUGUUCAUGACUACACUUGUGUUUUAAAGUUUAUUAGAAUAGAAAAAGGGGGAGGAGAAAAUGGAGAAGGAAAGAGGAGCAAAGAGAAGGAAGGUGCAGCAGAAGAAAUCCUGGCCGCCAAGGUAUUAACCUGCCUCUUAUACCAAGUUGUCAGGAACCUGUCCUGAUAUAUGGAGACGUAAAGGAAGAAGAAUAAGCAGAGGAAAGAAAAGAAUUGAAGAAGUACACCUUUGUUGUAGAGAAGGAAAUUCAAUAUUCAUUCAUGUUUUCCCUUGAUAUAAAAUUCAGUCCCUCAUGUAUAGGGUCUUCUCUCUUUCUCUAGCAACAAAGCAGUAACUGAACGGAGAAGACUUUCUCCUUUCUUCGAUUUCUCUUCCUUGAUAUUAGUUGAUAAUACACUUGUGAUUUAGGUCAUCAAUGUUCUAACUUUUCAUAUAAGAAACAGAGAACUCAAACACAAUAUCUAGAUAAAAUUCAUUAUGAACAAAAAAUUGAAGAUCUCAAAUAUUAAUUAUUAGAUCAAUAACUCAACAUUUGCAUAAUAAUCAUAUCAAUGGUCUACAAACAACACAACCAGAAUAUAAGAGAGGCUCAAAAGUGCCUUGAUAAAGUGUUAAAGUUUCUACAUUGAAAGGAGGAUCAAUAUGCAUAUGAGUGGGGAAGUCAAGCAACUACAUUAAGUCCAACAGAUCAAACAAUGAGGCAAGUGCCAAGAGCUUAGGUAUAUAAUUUCUUGAAAACCUGUUUUUUGGAUAUUGUUCAGAGGAUGCAAAGCAUGCUUCAGUCACCUACAUGAAAUUCUAUAGUUUUACAAUACGCAUCUAUUGCAAGUUUAUAAUCAAUAUUAGUUAAAGUAAUCUUUGCCUAAUCUCAACAUGUAAAUCAAGAAAGUAUUUGGCAAAUAAUUUAGCAGGCUCAUAAAUUUUAAUGUAAGGAGUUUAGAUAAGGUUAAUAGAUGCUCGAAGGUAAUAACCAUGAACAAUUUCAAAAGAACUCUUACCAGUUGGUUCUUGUGUUCAAGAACCAAAAAUUAAGUUAUCAAGUCAGUAUUAUGUCCAAGCUCUCUUUCAUCCUAAAUCCUUAAUCUUUGUAUUAAAAGUUGUUCCAAAUACGACUUUUAAUUUCAAAUAAAAUUAAUAUAGUACAUUUUGAAUUCUUUCGAAAUUGAUGGAAUAAGAAACAGAUUAUAGUGGUUUAAAAGAAAAACAACUAUAAACCAUAAACAUAUACUUCAAAAUACAAAUAAUACUACCCAAACACCAUUAUGCUAAAAGUGCAUGACUCAAAAUGCAAUUAAUUCAAUAAAAUAUGUUAGAAGUUCAUGGUUUAUUCUGGAUAUUGAAAUCCAUUUACAAAUAGAAAUAAAACGAACUCCAUUGUCCAUUUAUUCCAAGCAUAACCUUAACUAACAUGGCAACUUAGAGAGAGAGAGAGAGAGAGAGAGAGAAAGAGAGAGAGAAAGAGAGAGAGAGAGAGAGAGAGCAGAUUCUCAAUUUUCCUCCAUCCAACUGUCAUGAGCUUCAGAAAGUAUUGUGUUUUCAAUUAACUUAUAUCUAAAACUGCGGCUAUCUUCCAAGCAAUAAAGCUCCGAAGACAACAGAAUCAACUUCCACCAUUAAUAGUUUGGAGCAUUACACGUCUAAAACUAAUCCUUANNNNNNNNNNNNNNNNNNNNNNNNNNNNNNNNNNNNNNNNNNNNNNNNNNNNNNNNNNNNNNNNNNNNNNNNNNNNNNNNNNNNNNNNNNNNNNNNNNNNNNNNNNNNNNNNNNNNNNNNNNNNNNNNNNNNNNNNNNNNNNNNNNNNNNNNNNNNNNNNNNNNNNNNNNNNNNNNNNNNNNNNNNNNNNNNNNNNNNNNNNNNNNNNNNNNNNNNNNNNNNNNNNNNNNNNNNNNNNNNNNNNNNNNNNNNNNNNNNNNNNNNNNNNNNNNNNNNNNNNNNNNNNNNNNNNNNNNNNNNNNNNNNNNNNNNNNNNNNNNNNNNNNNNNNNNNNNNNNNNNNNNNNNNNNNNNNNNNNNNNNNNNNNNNNNNNNNNNNNNNNNNNNNNNNNNNNNNNNNNNNNNNNNNNNNNNNNNNNNNNNNNNNNNNNNAGCGGCCUGCCCAGCCUUCACACAUCGAAAUGAGUGUCUCUGAACUUCGUAAACCAACUCAAUGCUCUUCAUCAAAUUCUCCAUGGCUCCGUUAUCAUACAUCCCUGGACCCAUGCCCGGGGGUACCAGUGGCUUUAAGCACAAGCCCCCAUGGGGUCCUGUCCGCGUAGAAGACCCUGAACUCGUCGCCGGGGGAAGCCUGGCGUUCGUCCAUCACGAACCCAACAUUCAGCUCCCGGAACUCCUGGGAAUCCGCGAACUUCUCCAUCCCGUGAAAGCCGCCAAUCUCCUCGUCGGGGACGUACGACACAUGGACCGUACGCAGGGGGGCGAAUGCCCUGGACUUGAGGGAGCGGAUGGCCUCCAGGUACUGCAUGCCGAUACACUUGUCGUCCUGCGCUCCACGAGCGAAAAUCUCGCCAGUGGGGGUGCGAAAGGCGGAGAAAGGCGGGUGGAGCCAUUUGGCAGGUUCAGCGGGGACGGAGUCGAGGUGAGAGUUGAAGAGAAUUGAAGGGAGGGAAGGGUCGGAACCCCGCCAGGUAAGGAGGAGGACAGGUUUGCCCGGGACGAACUCGAGAGAACGGACGUUUAAGGCCAGGGAUUGGGCUUGGUCGAUGAGGAAGGAGAUCGGAGCGGUGUAGUUGGGGUCUGGAUGGGCUGUGUUGAACCUCAGGUAUCGUUGGUAGCGGGUGACAGGUGUAUCCUCUUCUUCUUCUUCUUGGGAAUCUUGUGACUGAGAUUUUGCAGAUAAUAGCGAGAAUAAGAAGGCCAAGAUUAGGAGGACGUAUAACAGGCGGCGAGAGGCGGCCAUGGGUUUUGUUAGACUGAGUGACUGACUGAGCCACCUCGGUCAACUACGAUCCAGUCAUUUAUGAAGAGACGACUACUGUUAGCCCAUAUUUUUAUUUUUAAAUAUGGAAUUUCACUGUAAAACCCAAACAAUGCAACUCAAAAUAACGGGUCUGGAAUUUAAUUAAAAUUGAUUCAAUUAAAAAUUUCAUCUCCAUGAACAACUUAUUUUGAUAUUAUUUAAAUUAUUAAUUUUUUUUGAGUAAAUAAAAAUUAUCACCAUAUGCAAAAUCUAUAAAUAGUUAUUUACUGUUGCAGAUUUGUUUGUAUGCGAUACGAGAGAGAACACUAUUUAUUAUAUUUCCUUAAAGUUAAAUUAAAAUUGUAUGGUUUUUAUACGAUUUUAAUGCUUCGUUAAUCUUAAACUACGAUUUUAUAUCUCUUUUUGAAAAAUAUUCUAAAUCAAUACGUAAUUGUAAAAUAAUUUAUUUUCAAAAUAACAAGAAAUAAAUAAAACGCACACGUAAUUUUAAUACUAUAAUUGUCUUUUAUAUUAUCGAUUUUUAUUAUUUUUUAUUUUAUUCAUCAUAAAAUAAUAAAUUAUAAAUAUAGUAUUUACGCAUAUUACAAUUUUAUAUUUAAAUAUAAUAAAUUAAGAUUUAUGAUUAUUAAAUAUAAUUAAUCAUUUUUAAACGAAACUAAUAAAUUGAUAGUUUGUUGCACACAUUAAAUUUUAUAUUAAGUUCAUUUAUUAAUAAUAAUAAAAUAAUAAUAUAUAUUUUUUGUAUUAUUUUAUUUAUAUAUUGGUAUAUUCUAUAUACGUAAAUUUAUAAUAUUUAUAAAUACGAUUUUACAUAUAAUUAAAAAUAUAACAUUUAAAUAACAAGAAGAUAUAACAUUAUUUAUAUUUACACUAUUUUUGUUACAUUAUUAAUUUUUCUGACAAAUAUAUUUUUUCUUCUUGAGAGAGCUACUAUUUUUUUACUAACCAUAUAUAUAUUUAUAUAUAUAAACUGCUUUCAUAAACUUGGUACAAUAUUAUUAUAUUGGAUUCUUUCCCCUUGAACCUAACAUUUACCUUUAAAUCACCAUUGACCAAAAUCCGCUUAUUUGCUUAUAAAAUCAGAAUUCAAAGAGUUUUCAAAUUCUAUAAUUAUUUAAUAUAUAAGUAAACUAAUUAUUCAUAUAUUUACUUUUACAACAAUAUUAUUUCGUCCUCAUCAUUAAAUUUUUUUUUUCUAAAAAUACAGAAUUUAAGUUAAAUAAAAUUGAUUUGAAAUUAUAAUAUAUAUUUUAUUGAUAUUUUAUGAAAUUAAAAUUUAAACCACAUUUUUGAACCUCUUAAAAUAAAUUCCAAAUUGCGUUGACCACUGCUGCGUUAUAGCAGUAGGAAUUAUACGCUAUCCUGGUGCGUGAUGAGUAUGAGCGACGAGGGCGCGUGGGAAUAAACCUUCCAUUUCCACCGCCUUUUUUAAAUUGACCAUCGCAGCCCAAAUAUGAUUGGAUGGUCUUCCAACCUCUUACGUCAAAGUGGACCACAAAAUCUCUCUUCCUCGAAAAUCCAACACGCAUUACUUCUCACGCGCCUAUAUAGAUCUCAGCGACCCCUCACUCGGUUGCGCGUGGACAACAUCUCCUGCUCUUAGUUAAGGAGCCUAGAUUUCAUAAAGCAUAAACAUAAUUAAAAAAUAAAAAUAAAAAAAAAGAAACAGAAGGAGAGAAUCAGACACGACGACCUGCGACGCCGAGUUUUCUACAAUGGUGAAAGGCUCUCUAUCAGGCUUCCAUGUAGGGGUGCUGUCCCUAAUAUUUCUGUGCUUAACGAUUAGCGAUAAAAGCAAUCUCGUCCCCGUUGCAGAAGCUUUAUGGUUGACGAUUCCUAGUACGGGUUCCAAGUGCGUGUCGGAGGAGAUUCGAGAUAACGUCGUCGUUUUGGGUAGUUACCACGUGUUCGACGACGAUCAUCCCGAAAGCGUUCCCAAGAUCAGUGCUCGGGUAUGGUGAAUCAGUCUCGCAUAAAUGAUAUAGUCUUUUUCUCUUUUUUAUUUGGACAGAAACGGAUUAUACGUAAUGCGAGUGUAGUUUGACGAGAAAAGUGAUGUCGUUUUGUGAAGGUAACAUCGCCGUACGGGAAGCGUCUGUACGAAAUUCAGAAUGUGAGUUAUGGAGAUUUUGCAUUUACAAGUCAGGAAGCUGGUGAAUACAUGGCUUGUUUCUGGACGGAUGCCAGUCGGGAACAAACUACGCCCGUAAGUCUCGGGCUUAACUGGAGAAUUGGGGUCGAUGCCAAGGAUUGGGCCUCCAUUGCCAAAAAGGAAAAGAUUGAGGCAAGCUUCUAACUUAAUACUACACAUUUAUUUUCCAGUUUAAAAUAUAAUCAACUCUGUGAGUACGUAUGAGAUAUUUUUCUUUUUGCAGGGAGUGGAGCUUCAGUUGAGAAAACUUGAAGAAUUAGUCAAUGGAAUUCAUGAUCGGUUACUCUAUUUCAAGCUAAGGUAUUUUGUUUAUUGAUUUUCUGUGUGUUUAAUUUGUUUUUUACAGUUGAACAUGAAUGAAUGUAUACGUGUGUGUAUAUAUAUAUAUAUUUAAUACUGGGAUGGAAUUAUUACAGGGAGUUACGUACGAGAGAAAUGAGCGAAGCAGCCAACUGGAAAGUGGCAAGGUUUAGUAUAAUGUCGAUCGGUGUUUGCAUAGUGGCCUCCAUUUUGCAGCUCUGGCAUUUGAAGCGUUACUUUGUAAAGAAGAGGCUUAUCUAGAUUUUGUUCAUAAUAGACUUCGUUAAAAAAAAAAAUAUAUGUCUGCUUGUCUCAACAUAAAUUUUCUUUUGUUAAUCAUAAUAUUUUAUAUAAUACCACCCUAUUUAUAAUUUAAGAAUUAUAACUAUUUUUUAGUUUUUAAUAAAUUAAAAAUUAAAUUUUUUAAUAUUUAUACAUAAUUAAAUUUCAUAUUUUAUGAGAUCCCGUUAAACUUAUAUCUUAUAAUUAUCAAUAAUUAAAUUUAAAUAUACAUAAAAUUGUGUAUCUUUUUCUUCUUUAUUAUAUUAUUUUUGUUGUUAUUUUUGUUUUGAGAUAAAGUUAGAGUUAAAAUUAUUUUGGUCAGUACCAAAUUUAAAAUUUUUAAUUUAAAUGACUGAGUGUUAAAAAUUUUGUAAAAAUAAUUGUAUUCAAAUUAAUUUUAUAAUAUACUAUUUAAUAAAUUUUAAUAUAAAAAUAGUUACCAAUAUAAAUAUUGUAGUAUUAUGUUUAAUUCAAAAGAAAAUUUAUGAUUGAAAUUAAUACGAAAACAAAAUCAUUAAAUUAUAACACUCAAACACUCUGCUCAAAUGUAAGUUAAUUAAAAAAGAAAUUGUACCUUUAUAUUAAUUACCUAAUUAGUUUAUUAUAUAUUAAUGAUUUGAAAUAUCUAUUAAAUCAUACAUGCAUACAUAAAAUAUGAUUAUGUUUGAAAUUUACAUGUAAGUAAUAAUUUUUAAAAAGAUUAUCUUCGUCGCCUAUGAGAUACAAUCAGCCCAUUUAGGCCACGGCUCAAGAAAAACAAAGAGUUAACGCCAACUAAAACUAAGGUCAAUCUUGCAGUACCGUUAGUUUACGGCACAAAAAGGGCCCGACCCGGCUUCCUGCUAUCGGUUUUGGAAGGAUGGCGAUUGCAGCAGCGGCAGCAAUAGCAGCGAUGCCAUCGUCAAUGGCUUUACUUACAAGACCAAAGCCCAAGUGGAAGUUCACUACUACGGCUUAUUCUUCAUUUUUCUCUUCUUCUUCCUCGCCAACAUCUAAAACUAGGAAGCUCGUCCUUUACUCGAAACCCGGUUGCUGUUUGUGUGACGGCCUCAAGGAAAAGCUCCAGGCCGCCUUCUUGCUCUCUGGUCCUGAUUCCCUCCACGAUGUCGAUUUGCAGGCAAGUAUAUCUCUAUAUUUCUUUAUCCUUCUAUGUGUUUAAAUGUAUGUAUGUAUGCAUGUGUGCGAGUAUGUAUAAAUUGAAAUGGAUUUGCUUGGGUUUUUCUAGGUGAGGGAUAUUACCAGCAAUCCAGAGUGGGAAAAAGCUUACCAGUAUGAGAUACCGGUUUUGGCAAGAGUAGUUUCUGAUGGCACUGAGGUUUGUGUUAUUCGGCUUGCCUUCCUCUGUUUUGUUUUCUUGUUUUUUUUUUUUUUUUUUUUGUGGUGGGUGGUUGUUUUAAGCUUUUUGUCUAAUUGUGUCAUGCUUGGUUAUUGUUUUUAAUGGGAAUUUCUUUAAUGUUAGGAAGUAUUGCAGUUCAGAAAUCCACAUUUUGGGAAGACUCCCUUGGUUGGUUUUCAGUCUGCAACUUUGCCAUUAAAUACAUUGGUUGAUUUUCAGUCCGUAACUUUGCCAUUAAAUACCUUGGAAUCACAUUCAUCGAGGGGGAAGAAGAACAUAUCUUCGAAUAGUGUUGAAGCAAGAAUUUAUUGAAAGCAUAGCGAGAUUGAAUAGUUAUCAUUAUACUAAAAGAACUCAUUGGGGAGUGAGAUGAUAGGUGAACCUAAAUAUGUUACAUCUAAGUGGCAAAAAGCUUUGAGAGGUUUCAUUUUAAAAUCUUGUUAAAAUUUCCUUUUUUUUUCUUUGUGGUUUUAUACCUUGCAGAUAUUAUGGCAGGCAAUAAUGUUCUAAAUGAGAGGGCCAGUUUCUCUUGAUAUCCUACAUUUUUGUUAGACAGAAACAAAAGGUUAAUGUUUUACAAUUUAGUUGGGUGACAGUAGAAGGAGAUGUCCUUCAAUGUUUUCUUUCUCUUUUAAGAUUGAUUAUUUUAGCUAUCGUUGCAGUAUUUUAUCAAUCACCCCAUUACAGAUUAUUGCAACUCUAUUUAUUUGGAAGGUCAUCUGCAGGAAAAAUCUAUUUAGCACAACACUUGUGCAAAGCAUGUAGUGGAUGUAGUGUCUUUUCUUCUUUAAAAUAUUUUAAAGAAGAUUGACUUAUAAAAUAAUGUAAAUCUAGGUCAACUUUUAGUUAGUUUGACAAUAUUGUAGUAUUAUCAGGUGUAUCUUUUUCAGCUGAAUAUAGUUGUUCUCGAAACAAACCUUGAUCUAUCCUUGUCAUUGGCCCAUAUUUUUCUUAAACAUUCUCUGAAGUUUAUGCAUGGAAUACAUCAACUUCUAUAAAAAAUCCUUUUGGCCCUAAAAUAGGUAAGAAAAUGGACAAAAAGGGAUUUCCAAAAUGACAGGUGUCACUAGGUGAGGAUGCAUCCAAAGGGAACCAGUAACGAGCGUGUUCUAGAUGAGUCCAAGUCUUGUUCUUGGCCUUUCCUUGAGAGUCCUUACAAUGAUGCAAUACCUGAUAUAAAUGGUAACUAAUAGCUGUUACUCUCAUAUUACAAUUUUGAAUUAGAAUUUCUGACUUCUUCAUCUCUAAAACAAUUUUAAAUUAGAAUUUCAUCAGAUGGUUAGAUUGUUCUCUGCCUUCUCCAUCUCUAAAAUAUUAGCAAGUUAAUCUCUCUUGUUGACUAGUUGUUGUCCCAGACUUCCAAUAGUUUACAUAAUAAGAUCAUUCGGAUAUGACAACUUCUGCAUCUAAAAGAUGUUGAACUUUAGUGAGAUGAGAGUUCACAUCAACAAUUUUAAAUUACAUGCAACUAAAAUUUGUGAGGAUCUGCUUUAGUGUCAGCUCUCUCUACUCUUUUCUGUCCGGUCAUAACUUUAACGAAAAAUAUCAUUUUCUCUCAAAAAUCAUUUGGAAAUCGGGUACCCCUCCAAGAAUUGCUUUUUUUGCCUGGGAAGCUGCAAAAGGGAAAAUCCUGACAAUUGACAAUUUGAUGAAAAGAGGGCAUACUAUUUUCAACAGGUGUUUCUUAUGUAAGAGAUCUCUUGAAUCAUGUAAUCAUUUACUUUUGAAAUGUCAAACAUCUCACAAAUUCUGAAGUAUGAUACUCGGGCUUUUGGGGAUCUCUUGGGUAAUGGCAGAUUCUGUUUAUUCCAAACUUCUAGUAUGGGAAGAUUUGAGUGGUAACAAAGCGCAUAGGUUAAUCACUCUUACUAUUUUCUGGGUUAUUUGGAAGGAGAGAAACAACAGGGCUUUUGAGGGGCUUGAACAAGAUUUUAAUAAUAUAAAAAAUAAAUGGUUUCAUUAUUUUGCCUCUACUGUUUUAGAACAUAAUUUAGAAUAUUUUGAAAAUCUUGGUUCUAUUGUAGAUAUGCUAAUUGACAUGUAAAUUUUUUGUAAAUGGGUGGUGCUCCCUUAGCACCUCACAUUAAUAUAUAUUCUCUUCUUUUAUUUAAAAAAAAAAUAAAUAAAUUGAGUGCAAAGUAAAGUAAAACAGUUUCAGUGGAUCCAGUAUUAGCAUUCUUGCAACAUACUAGGAGGGAACGUGUUUGAUCCGUUGGGUUUUGAUCGAUUUCUGGUUAAGGAGGAGUUUGUUUAUCUCGUGCUGCUCUAUAACUUACUAAAUUGUUGAAUUGGCAUUUUGAUAGGGUCUUGGGCAAAACUUAUUCGAAGUGAAGUAAGAAUUUGAAGAAAAUACCUCGCUAUCAAUGGUGUAGGAAGUAAAAACUAAGAUCCUUGAGCAUGUGGAAUAUGCACAUUGACCUGUAAAAGAUCAUUUGAUAGACAAUCUGUUACCUAUUUUGUUUAUGGGGUGAUAGUAUAGCUCUAGCUAUGAAGUAAGAAUCCUUCAACACAUACAGGUUAAAGAAAAAGUAAAAGAAAGAGAGAGGGUACAUCAGUGGAGAGUACCAUACAUGCCAAAUUUAGCAUGCUUCAUUACUGUGCCCCCUUCAAUGGAGUUACUUAUAGAAUUUUCAGCAUUAAAAGUCUUCCUCCCAAUUAGUGUUUUUUACUAGCAUAGAACUUAAUCCUUGUUUUUCCUGCAUAUAGAGGAUGAAGGAAAAAAUUCAAAAUCACAAGAAUGGCUCCAUAAGAAAAACUACGUAUGCCUAAAACUACUAUAUGAUUCUUGUGGACCUCCUCUUGCUCCCUAGGAGUAUUCUGUGAAGUAUAAUCUCUUUGAUAUGAGCAAGAACUCAACAUUUGUUGUAUCCAUCCUUGAUUUUUACCCGUUGAUUGUGAAGCUUAUAAUUGGAGUUUAAGCUCAAGUGAUAUGUCUGUUAAAUAAUGUACUUUACAUGUAAAUAAUUAAAGGUGAAUUAUGCUAAAAGACAUUAUGGUAAAAUCCGUCCUAUGUAAUUAAUUGUUGGUUUCCUUUCUGGUUGUGGAGAACUUGUAUAUAUAACAUUAAUAUUAUUUAAUAAUAUACCUGACAUAUCAUUCUUGACAUGGUAUCAGAAUUUUAAGAAAAAUACCGUAAUUUUUUUACAAACCCUAAUCAACCUUCAUUGUCAAAAUAAGAAAAACACAAAAAUCCUAAAUGGGAUUAGCUUUCAUAGCCAGCCAUCAGAAAAACUCCAGCGACCACAACCUGCAGCAAUGAGCACCAGCAAGCCAACAGCGCACUCACCCAGCCACAUCUGCACCCAGCCACAUCUGCCUCUGAGCCACAUCUGCCUCUGAGCCACAUCUGCACCCAGCUUUAUGCCUCCAGCAGUGUGCCUGCCACCCAGCAGUGCGCCUGCCACCCAGCUGUGCAUCCCUCCAACCACGCCUCUGUACAGCUGCCAUAACUAAUUCUGUCCUGGGUGCAACCUUCUGUCCAGCUACAUUCAGACCAUUAGUUUGUCUUAUCAAAUUGCCCUUAAUUUCCCUGAAAACUUUAAAUCAUGUAGGAGGUUAUGUCUCAAGUUAUUGGCGCAAAUUCCAACAUGGUAAAUUCACAACAACUCAAUGAAAUUUCAAGCAAUUCAGGCUGUCUAUUGCUUGAAUGCAAAGAAUUACCUGAAUUGGCUACAACUACUUCGGAUGAUUCUUAAAGAAAAAUGGAAAAUCAGUCAUAUUCUGGGCACCGGAUCUAAACUGGGAGACCCACAAUUUGAUGUCUAUGAUGAGGAAGAUUCAAUGAUAAUGACUUGGUUAUGGGAUUCAAUAUCACCUAAGAUAAGCAAUACUUGUAUGUUCCUAUCACUGCUAAGGAAGUUUGGGAAGCUCUUAAAGAAACUUAUUUCAAAGUAAAAGAUUCAGCCAUACGAUCUAAUAAUCAAAUCUUGGUUUUCCAAGCAUGGAAGUAGAUAAGUGACGAAGUAUGCUAAUUUACUGAAAAAUUAGUAGCAGAAACUAGAUCAAUACUACUGCCUUCCUAUGGAUUAUUCAACAGCCUUGAAGAAGUUUGUUGGAAAAGUUAGAGUCGAUUAAUUAAUGGGGGGUUUCAAUGCAGAAUUUGACCAGGUAAGGAUUCAAAUAUUGGGAAAAGAAGACAUGCUUUCGCUAAAUGAGUUGGAAAAGAAAGCAGGAGAGGAGUUAUGCCGAAAACCUCGCUCCAUUAAGAGCGCGGUCAUUAUUCAACGGUUCCAAAUCACUCCAACCGGUGAAGGAACUGAGUUAGAUUGACACACUAGCAAUAGGAGGAGAGGAUGAAGAUAAUAUGUGGUGUACCUUUUGCAAGAAGUCAAAGACACACCACGGAGAAAUGCUAGAAACUCCAUAAGAAGUCCACUACCUCAAGCAAGGAGUGAGGUAUAAAAUAACCCACAAAAUAUGGACAAGUUCAUGUAGUCAGCCAGGAGGAGGAGGAAAGAACCAUUGAUCUUAGUAAAUUCAAAGUUAAAUGAAUGCUAAAGAAGCAGGCUUGAGGAACUUGAAAAACCAUAGGUAUAAAUUUGUUGGCACGCACAGGUACAUUUUCUCUCUCACAGAGUUUAAAUACCUCAUACAAACCAUUUAAACAGUCAAUGAUUAUAUACUCAGGGGUCACUAAUUAUAUGAGUAACUCUUUAAAAUAUCUCCACACAUAUGUUUCAUGUCCAAGUAGUAGAAAAAUUGUCAUUCCUGAUGGUUCUUUAAACACCAUUGCAGGAAAAGGUAACAUUAAGAUUAGUCAUAAUCUGAUUCUCGAGAGUGUGUUACAUGUCCCUAAUUUUAGCCACUAAAUUAUCAGAAGACAUGAAUUACAAAAUAACAUUUUCCCUUCUAAUUGUGACUUUCAAAAUUAGAAUUUGAGUUUCCAAUUAUAACUAUGAAUUAUUGAAAACAUAACUAUACUUCUUUUGUUGCUAUUAGAAAAUGUUACAUGCUUAUAUUUAGUACAUUCGGAUAUAUUGCAAUCCAAAUUUCUAUUAAAAAAAUCUUUAAUUUAAAAAUGAAACAUAAUCUUCAAAGCUGAACCAGAUGANNNNNNNNNNNNNNNNNNNNNNNNNNNNNNNNNNNNNNNNNNNNNNNNNNNNNNNNNNNNNNNAAAGAUUUUAUUAAUAGAAAUUUGCAUUGCAAUAUAUCUGAAUUUACUAAAUAUAAACGUGUAACAUUUUCUAGUAGUAACAAAAGAAGUAUAGUUAUGUUUUCAAUAAUUCAUAGUGAUAAUUGGAGACUAUCCUAAAUUUUUAAUAUUUAUAGAACUCGAUAGUUUGUGUCUUUUGUUGAUGAUUGCACAAAACUCAUAUGAUUUCUCCUACUUAAAUUAAAAUCUGAUGCGAGUCAUAUAAUACUUCAAUUUUGUAAUAUGAUAAAAACUCAAUUUGAAACCCACAUUAAAGAUUUCGAACUGAUAGUGCAAAGAUUUUUUUUCAAUCAAACAUUUUCAUCAUUCUUUUACCAUGAAGGGAUUAUUCAUGAAUUUUCAUGUGUCCACACUCCAUAAUGAAAGGGAGUGACAAAAUAAAAAAAUGGUGACCUUCUUGCUACUACACGACCUUUCCUAUAUCAGGAUAAUGUCCCAAAAUAUACUAAGGGGAAGCAGUUCUUCCUGACAUCUAUAUUGUAAACUGAUCACCCUAAAGUAUUUUGGAUUUUGAAAGUCCUGUGAAAACAUUCUCAAAAUUCUACCCAGAAUUAGGGACACAACUGUCUAGUCCCAAGAAUAUUUGAGAAGAAACUUGAUCUUGGAGCCUUAAGGUGCAUUUUUGUGGGGUACUUAUCUUCUGGAUGGGGGUACAACUACUACCAUCUACCAACGCAAAAAUUCUAUAUAUUUGUGCAUGUUACAUUUGUUGAGACAUUUUUAUUCUUCCUAACCUUAUCUUCUGCUGGAGCCUAUAUUGGAAGAUAAGGAUACUGAUUUUUGUUUGAACUCAACUUUCCAUCCUUACCACUUAUCUAAGCUCCACUUACACCGCCACAAGAAGUCCAUCGAAACCCACUAGAAAAUCAAUCUAUCAAGAAACCAUAUAGGACUCGAAAUUUAUUCAGGUGUACUUAAGGAGGAAGAAUCUGGGUUCUAAACUGAAACAGGUUCAAACACAUAAACAUGUUGACUUUAAAUAUUGCUCACAAUUAAUAUAGCACAGUAAAACAAAAUACAUUGAAGUUGAUGGACAUUUCAUUAAAGAGAAGUUAAAUAGUGGCCUGAUAUGUACAAUGUAUAUGCCUGCCAACUCAUAACUUGCAGACAUAUUGACCAAAAAUUUGAAUAUACUAUUAUGCCAAAUUACCAUUGUCGAGGUGGGAAUAGAUAAUGUCUAUUCCUCAGUUUGAGGGAGUGUUAAAAAAUGUACUUAAUGUGUAAAUAAUUAAGCUGAAUUAAGUUAAAGAACAUUGUGGUAAAACACAUCAUAUGUAUUUGAUUAUCAUUUCCUUUCUUAUCCUAUUUGUAUAUAUAAGGUCACAUUACUCAAUAAUAUACACAACACAUCAUUCUUGAAAAUGCUUGUCUCAAUCUUUUUAUGUCUUAAGCUGCUACGUUCUUCUUGAUAAGUUUCCCCCUUCCCUUACAGCAAUAGACUGUAGCCAAUUUCUUAAGUUUAUAUUUUGAGGACAAGUGCAUUUGGUGUAGGCAUCUUCAAUUCAUCCCUUAAAUUCAGAUUAGGUCGUCAAGGUUCUUUCUCUCACGCCACCUCUGGACUAGAAAUUGGUUCAUUCUUCAGUAUUGCGCAACCGUGUGUCCUUUCCCAAAUGCAGGCUUUUUAGUUGUUCUUGAGUUCAUUGGGUACUUAGAUGUCAAAAGACAUGUGCAUUAUAAUAGUAUCAAUAACUGUUCUCUUGAAACCUUGAUGUACUCGCAAGGCAGGAUCACAAAAUAGUGUUUUACCUGAGCCAGCUGCCAGUUAUCUGGCACUCAACAUGAUUAUGGGUUUUGAAGUGGUUUUCAGGUCACUUGUACGCCUAGGUCUUUUCCUCAAAGUUGCUUGUCAAUCACUUCGUCAUUAUCUCUAGCUGAUCUACUCCAUACCUGUAUAAGGGUGCUGGGCAUUAAUCGGUGAUUGCAGGGUCUAUCUGGGAACUUAAAGCUUCUGAAGGUUGAGCUUGAGCAGAGGCAGAGGAAAAGCCAGCGCUUCCAUUCCCCUCUCCAUCUUAUUGGGUGUUAAGAAAGAGCUUAAAUAAAUGGUUUUUGAUGGAAUAGAAAACCACCCAUUCAGAAGGUUAAAAUUUGUCCAGUUAUAUCCUUUACUCUUGUAUUAUGGGCCACACUCUCUCCAAUAGAGGAAGUUGUUGCUUGUGAUUCUUCGACUUGUUGGGUUUUUCAUGGGUUAUUCACCCUUCAGUGGAACGCUUAGUUAUGUGGAGAGGGGAUUUGAAGGUGGCUAAACCCCUGAGGAGAGGAGCAAUUUUUGCAUGGCUGUGGACUUUAUGGCUUGAAAGGAAUCGGUGAAUUUUUAACGAUUACUUUUACGCUGUUUAUUUAAAAAAAAAAAGGAACGAUUACUUUUUGACUAGCCUGAAUUUAGAGGAACAUAUGACUCUAUGGGUCACUUUACCUGUGCUUCACAGGAAUUGGGAUGCAAAAGCCUCAUAGUUCUAAGUGCGAGGACUUCUACUUCUUUUUGUUUUUAUUUCUUGUUAUGCUAUAUAGUUUUUAAUAUUUCUUUUUCUUUUUCUUUUUUUUUUCAGAUCUUCUAUAUGAAGGUCUUAGGGGGAUAUAUUAUUCUCCCAAUAUCUAAUUAUCUCUUUCUCUUCUUAUUAAUACUCCUUUUUCUAUAAAAAAAACACAACUCAUGGCAUACUUCUGGGAAUGUAUAAGGAAUUUCUUAGGAAGCAGUCUGAAACUGUAAAGAACUUGUCAUAUGGGAAUUCUCUUAGCUUCCAAACUGGCAAUGCAAUUAAAGCAAAUGAGCUUCUACCUGUGUCUCAAACAGUACUGCACCAAGCAUAGCACAGGCCUGUGGCUCUCAACAAGGUUCCAUCAGACCAUCAUCAUUCAAAACCUCCUUGUAUUUAUUACUUCCAUCAACCUUGAGUUGCAGGAAGCAUUUCAAAUUUACAUUGAGAAGGCCAUAUUACACAAAAUUGGAGAUUUUAUAUGCAGAUGUAUUUAUUCAAGAUAGUGUUUGAUGCAAUAAUGCAUUAAUACUUUGAAGAGAUUGACUUGAAUAGGCUUAAUAAAGUUGUAUACAUCAUAUGAGACAUUGAAAUAUAUUUGUAAUCAUGUCUUGGUGAUUUUUUGAAGAAACAUUAUGUCUUCUAAUCUUAGCAUCAUAUCUGGUAACCACUUUCUCUAGUUUUCAGUCAGAUUUCCUCUUGGAUAUGUUCUUCAGCCGUAAGAUUCUAGAGCUAAAUAGUUUUGGUUGCUUUUUCUUUUGAGGAACAAACGAUCUUGGUUGCUGAUUUGCUGUACUUUUUUUUCUUGAUAAUGUAAAGGCCCAUUCUGGGCUUCAACCUGAGCAUCCCCUGCAGUGAGGCCAGAACAUGACCACAAGGACAAAGUGAUCUGGUCGGUUAAUUUACUUAUUGUAAACUUGUUGACUUGUCAAACCAGAAAGCUAUCUUAUGACACAAAUGAUGGGAUAUCAAAUAUACUAGCAAUAAUUGUUGAAGCUUUUGUUAAGCAGCAAACCGCUGGACCCUUCUUGUCCACUUGUAAAUGUGAUAGAGCCAAGUGGAAGUACUCAUGAAGUAGGGCCUGAAUAAUUUUCAUGUUGAAUGUGAUUUCCUAUUUAUCAAUUUGAUUAUGAUUUUGAGUGAUAUAUUUUUCUCUUUUUUUGUUCUCAGGAAACUCUCCCUAGAUUAUCUCCUCGUCUUGGAGUAGAGCUCAUACAAAAGAAGAUAGCGGCUGCUUUGAGACAAUAAUGAGCCUUUCAUGACUAAAUAAUUCUAGAUGUGUUAUUUGGAAAACAAUAUAUAUUUGUCAAGAAGAGAUCUUCUAUUGUAUAUGGCAAUAGUCAAGUAAAUCUUAUGAGAAAUUUUCAAUUUUGAUAUACUAAGGCAUUUUACUUUUCAGUUCAUUUUCUGCAACAUAAUUUGUUUGCCAGCAGAAAAGAAAAAAGUAAUAUUCAAAUUGAAAUCAAUUUAAGUUGCAUCAAAACUACUUAUUCUCUCUGCGUCCUUUAAUUUCUUCUCUGUCUUUGUUUCUUUCCUCCAUUUUGUGUGGGUCAAAUGCAGUGCAAUUUACACUGUAUAAAAAGUGAAGAUCUAUGUGCUGGCAUGUUAUAUUCACACACAUAACGCAUUUGCUGCCUUUGACCAGUCCAUUAGUUUAAAGGAUAUUGACAAGAACUUGUGCUCGGGUUGCUUUGGUUCCAUGUCCAUCAACUCCUUUUUCCUUUAUGUUAUGCAUGGCUAAGUUUAUCCGUGUUUAUCAUCUGUUUACUAAUACUUGUUUUUGGUUUGAUGGUAGUAAAUGUAUUUACUUGGGCAAAAGAAGUGAGACGAAAAAGGUGGUCAUGCCAACCUGACACUGCCGAGUGAUUCAGAUAAGCCUGGCUUUUCUUAGCUCUAUUUUGUUCCUGCUUUGGUGACUUUUAGUUAAAUGAUUCAUGAGUUGUGAGAUUAGUAGACCACUACUUGAUGUGAUUUUUGUCUUCUUUCUUAAAUUAGCACAUAUAAGGUCUGCCUGCAUUAAUUUAGAAAAGUGAGGUUCGUCAAAAGUUAUGAAUCCAAUUGAUUGAUUCUAGGCCCCAUCACCUACGUGAAAGAGAGCUUGAUUCUUUUUUCCUUUAUAUUUAAUCUCUAGAGAAUGCAACUUACUUUUCAACUAAAUUUUCUUUAAAAUACCAAUUUUGAAUCUCCAUCACUACAUUAUCUGCAUUUUGUUAAGAUUGACACUGGAAUCAAAUUGUCGUAGGAAUCUCUCUUCAACCCUACCCCUGUAUAAAAGCUUCCGUUAGUGAGAGGCUAAAGUUCUUCCAUAUUUGGAAUUGGAUUUCAUUUCUGAAGAAUUUAUAUCCUUUAUUUGACAUACACACACACACACACACACACACACACACACACACACACACACACACACACACACACAAUUAUAUUUGGUCAAAAUUUUGGUUUACUAUUUGCUCCCCACAUUCUUUAUGAUCUGAAUAUGGAAUGUGACUGAUUAAUGCAAGGAACCCCAACGUGCCGGGCACGCCUUGUUGAGAUUAGUUUUUUGAAAUUCCUCAUUUUCUUUAUGAAGAGAAAAGCACCUUUUUACACUGGUUUCUUUUUUUCUUUGAGUAGGAAAGAAACUAAAUUAUUAUAGAUGAUCAUAAAGAAAAUUUCCCCCACUUUAGAUUGCCUCAUGCUUUAGAGCAAGAAGAUACAUCUUCUCUUCUCUUUAAUUAUAUCUCGCACAUUGUCUUCUAUGUUCUAUACGCAAGUCUCUUAUUAUUAUAUGAUUAUUCUCGAGCUAUAGUAUGAUCCCACUUAAUGCUUUUCAAAUUUCUCUUUAGUUCUGAGUGGAUUUUAGGUUAAGUUGGAAAAUAACAGUACCCUAAUAAUAUAAUUAAUGAUAAUAGUUAAUUAAUUAAACAAACCUUUUGCUUAAUGAUUAAAGUUUCAUAUAGAUUUUGUAUCUAACAUUUGUCUAUACUACUCGAUUUGAUUAGAUACAUCGAUGUGUUUGUGGUGUGUGUACACACAUACAUAUACACGUUUGAUUUAUUAUCAGAACCCCUACUUGUGUCGUUAUUUGUAUCAAUUGAAGUGUAUAUUUACAUUGUCUAAGAUUAAUAUUAAACUGUAAAUUAGAUUUCCAAUCGAAAGAGGUUUACUUUAAAUUAUUUACCUUCUUUCCUCAUCCAUUAAAGAAAGUUAUAUCUAGGGUUCAUUGUCAUUUUCAUUGGCACUAAUCUAAUCUAAUCUAAUUUUGACGCUGCUUUACUAGUCAUUUGUACUGAUAAUUGUUGUCUUUUUUUUUUAAAAAAAAUGUAAACCCUUUCUUCACUUGAAUCUUUCGACAAAAAUGAUACCAAAGUUUGGAUUAAUAUUUUUAUUAUUUAAUUUCAUUACAAUAUUAGAAGAAAAAAAAAGUUCAAUUCUAUAAUUUUACUUGAAAUUUUCAGAUAAUCCUAAAAUUUAUUUAAUGUUAAAGUUUAAAACAAAUCUAGAAAUCACAAAUUAAAGUGCCCGAUUUAGUUUAGUACUUGAAGGUAUUUAUGAACAGAAAAUGUGUUAAAAUAUAAAUACGUUACAUUUUAGUAAAAAUUUAUAAUUAGUUUUUGAUUUUAAUAUUUCAAUCAUUAUGUAAUGAACAAAAUAAAAAAGAUUCAUUUGUCAAGCAAAAGAAAGAUUGGUGGUGGAGGGUUUGAUAAUGAUACGAGUGGUUGAAGCAAUUACAACAAAUUAAAGUAAAGGAAUUGAAAUUUCAAUGGUUUGCUUUAAACACACACACACACAUAUUUAUAUAUUUAUAUAUUUAUAUAUGCAUGCUGAAUAUGAAUCAACGAUACACGGCAUUAUGCAUGGACUGUUGCUUUUCUUCCAUGGCAGAAUUUUAAAUUGAAAACUCGAUGCAUUUAAUUCUAUUUAUGCCUAAAUAAUUGAACCCACAACCACCAUCAUAUAUAUAUACACAUAUAUGUAUAUUUUUUCCCAUUCACGAUAGGUUUAAUUAUAAACCUCCUGACCCGUUGAAAUACUAUUUAUGUAUGUACGUGUAUCAUCAGUCAUAUGUAAGAAUCAUAUAUGAAUAUAUGCCUGUCGUAAUUAACGAGAUGAUCGUAUUUUUCUGAAGAUGUAUACUACUUAGAACAGUACCUUUAUAUAUAUAUAUAUAUAUAUAUACACACACACACACACACAUAUACAUACAUAUAAAGGAGUAAUAAUAGAGAACUAUCCCAGGAGAUGAGAAUGAAUUCACUUUAACUUGGCAAGUGAACAAGGAAGCACUUAACCACUGUGGCCUUCGUCUUUAUAUCACCACUUCAAAUAAUUAUAAUGCUGAAUCCUGGUCUUCUUCGUCCCAUGUAAUUAUCUUUUACACAUACAUAUGUAUUAUAUAUCUGUACAGUUGAAGUACAGUUCUAUCAGAUAUGAAAAGUAAAAACAAAAGAUCCAAUCAUGAGAUGCAAGUGCGUUGUACAUUAUGUGGAUGACAGAUCGAAAGAUCUUUUGGAUAUAUUGGUAUGGGAAACUGUUCGAAAAUGAUACAAUAAUGAAUCUUAUUACGUACAAAUAGUAGACACAUUUCUAUAUAUAUAUAUAUAUAUAUAUAUAUGUACAUGUAUGUAUGUAUGUAUUUACAUGUAUGCAUGUAUUUUUAUUUACAAAUUAGAUUAUUGACAACAAAUUACAUAAAUUAAUUAAUUAUAUUUGAUUCACCGUUAAUUAAAAUUAUAAGUGUAUACAUAUUCCACCUUUGUUCGAUGAAAAAAUUAAACCAUUAUUUUCAGUUCUAUACACCAAGUUUGUAACUAUGGUUGUUAAUUAAAUGAAGUUGUGAAUUUGUGAAAUUAAGGAAUCCAACAUCACUAAUAGUUAUGAUGUAUAAUGACAUGAUCCUCAUCCCCUAUAUGUAUAUCCCUAUCCACAACCACAUCUCCAAAAUCCCACAUACGAACUUAGGUGCUUUCCACCUCCAACUCAACAAUCAUAAAAACUAAUUAAAUAUACAAGAGAAAGAGUCCUGUGAAUGAACAGGCAGAUAGAGAUCACUCAUGAAAGCAAAAGAAAUUGGUCCCUGAAUUAACUAAUUAAUAUUUAAAAGUAUUUUUAUAUAUCAUCAAUAAAAAUACCUUUUUUUUUUUCUAUUUCAGGGUGUUUAUGUAUAUAUGUACGUAGUAUAUCUAGAGGAAGACAUGGGUAUGGGUGCAUAUAUAUAUAUGUGUGUGUGUGUGUGUGUAUAUAUAUAGUGUGAGAAACAGUUGAAGUGGGUGUAAGGUGUAAGGUGUACGAGAUUAAUUACUAUGGGAAAUUUAAGAGGAAUUUUUGAAAAGGUUAAGCCGUAUGUACUUAUGGUGUGUCUGCAAUUUGGGUCUGCUGGUAAUCUCAUAAUCAGUAUGGCCACUCUCAAUCAUGGCAUGAACCGCUACGUGCUCAUCGUCUAUCGCAAUGCUAUUGCUGCACUCGCACUUGCUCCUUUCGCUCUUCUUCUCGAAAGGUUCCUUAUAUAUAUAUUUAAAUUAAGAUUUAUAUGUUUUAUUAAUUAGAUAGUACUAAUGUGUUAAUUAUAAUAUGAUUAAUAAUAAUAUAAUUUGUUAAUACUAACACACGUAAUCUUAUAUAUAUAUAUAUAUAUGUGUGAUAAAUUUUGCAGGAAAGUGAGGCCGAAGAUGACAUUGAAAAUUUUCUUCCAAAUAAUGAUCCUCGGAUUUCUAGAGUAAUUGCUUCUCCCCCACAUCUAUUAUAUUCUUAAAGUAUAUACAUUUUAAAUUAUUAAUUAUUAUAUAUAUAUGUAUAUAUUGGUUAAUUAUAAUUAAAUGCAAAGGUGAUUAGAGGAGAUGUUAAUUAAUUAAUUAAUUCGCAGGCCAAUCAUUGACCAAGGUUUCGGCUACUUGGGGAUGCAAUUCACAUCAGCCACAUUUACAUCUGCAAUUAUGAACGCUGUGCCCUCUAUUACCUUCAUAAUUGCUGUCAUUUUUAGGUAAUCACGUACCUUCAUGCAUAAUUAAUUACACUGCACAUAUUUUGCUAAUAAUUAAUCAACAUGUUAGUUAGUUAAUUAAUUAAUCGAAAAUAAGCAGAUUAGAGAGAGUAAAGAUGAAGGAAGUGAGGAGUCAAGCGAAGAUGAUUGGGACACUUGUAACAUUCGGAGGAGCUUUGCUUAUGACGCUAUACAAAGGCCCUGUCCUUAAUCUACCCUGGUCAAAAGACACCUCCCCUCACGGCACCUCUUCUCACAACCAUACAAACUGGGUUGCCGGCACACUCCUAAUUCUUCUGGGUUGUGUUGCAUGGUCCUGUUUCUACGUCUUACAAGUAAUUAUACAUAUACCACUUAAUUUAAUCAAUCCUAUGAUUACGUAUAAACUAUCUUAACUAAACAUGUUUUAACUUAAUUUAAUCCAGUCUAUAACGAUUAGCAAGUACCCGGCAGAGAUCUCACUAUCAUCGUUGAUAUGUUUGGCCGGCACCUUACAAAGUGCAGCCAUUGCGGUGGUUGUGGAGCGUCGAUCUAGCGGAUGGGCUGUUGGCUGGGAUUCCAGGCUUUUUGCACCCUUAUACACUGUAAUUAUAAACUACUCACCAUUCUUUCUUUUUAUAUAUAACAAAUUAUUAUUAUUACUAUCUCGAACUUAAAUUAUAAGUUUUUACAAAAAAGGGAAUAGUGAGUUCGGGAAUUACGUACUAUGUACAAGGAGUCGUGAUGAAGACGAGAGGGCCGGUGUUCGCAACAGCAUUUAACCCUCUUUGCAUGAUCAUCGUAGCUGCACUCGCUUCUGUUAUCCUAGCCGAACAAGUUUACUUCGGAAGGUAUUUGUUUAAAAUUAGGAACUAAUCUUGGAUUAUUCUUUAACUCACAAGUAAGAAAUGAUUAUAAGUACUAUUAAUUUGAUGGUUAAUUUUAAUAAUGACUUAUUGCAGUGUGAUUGGAGGAGUGAUAAUAGCAAUGGGUCUAUACUGCGUCGUUUGGGGUAAAAACAAAGAUUACUCUUCCCCUACGAAGGGUUCUGCCAUUGAUCAUCCCCAACAGCAAGAAUUACCAGUUACGACUACUAAGGCACCAUCAACUCCUUGAUGAUUUGGAAGUGAAACAAAUAUGUAUCUGCAUUUGUAUGUGUAUAUGUAUUUUAUUGCAUGGUUUUUAUAAUCGCGUCAAAUACAUCAACAUGUAUCCAUAUAUAUAUAUAUAUAUAUUAAUUUUUCUUGAAAUUUAUAUUAUGAGAAAAUUAAUGGAAACGCUUAAACUAUCGUCCACAUGAGCUCAAUAUUUCGUUCAGUUCGUAUUUUCCAUCAAGGAACUUAAUCAAGUACUUGCAAGUCCACAGAAAAUGGAUUGUCGGUGAAUAAUAAUGCAAUUCCAACAUGGGUUUUCCUAUAUAUUAAAAAAAUAAAUAUAUGUGAAAAACCAUGUUGGAAUGUGAAAUAGGAAAGAUAAAUGCAUAUAUAUAUAUAUAUACACCCACAUACAUGUAUAUAAUCAGUUCAGGUGUGUGAAGCCAACAUAGAAUCUAGCUUUGUUUUCCACUAUGAGAACACCUGGCGGGCAUUGCUGACUUAAGAUGGUGGGUCACUGUAUAACAGUAGAGCCCAAAAACACAGUUCUCUCUCUCUCUCUCUCUAUAUAUAUAUAUAUAUUGGAUUAUGGCAAUUUUUUAACCAAAAUCGGACAGGAACCGGACCAGUUGUGUGAAAGUGGCCGCCACUAAUCAACCAGGCCAAGUUCUGGUGAUUUCCAAAAACUUCCAUCUAUUCCUCAUCAAAAAAUUUUAAGACUAUUUAUUCAAAAUGUGUAAAUUCAAAAUCUUUAAAAUGCAAACUGUAAAAGUUGAUGAUUAAAAAUAAAAAUUUUGAGUAGGUCUGCUACUAAAGUUGGGAUCAAGAUGUCUGUGUUUUUUACAUUAAACAAAAAUAUCAUUAAUUAUUUUUGAGAAAAGUAAUAAAUUAUUAUGUACAUACAUACAUACAUACAUACAUACAUAUAUAUAUAUAUAUUGUAUCAUAAGGUUACAAAAAAUGAUGGAGAACAUGAUUGAAAACUUUCUGAAUAUCGGUCUCUGUCCAUAUGUGAUGCGAUAUUCUAUCAUUUUCAACUUUACUUUUCUCCUCUGUUUGGAUGCAAAUUAACAUGAAAAAAAAAAAGCACUUAUGACGAUGGAGAAUAAAAGAUUCCUCCAAUUAUUCUAUAUAUACAUAUUCAUUAAUUAAUUAUUUAUAAUUAACUAAUCCAAAUUAAAUAUUUAUUGGUAUGGAAAUCAAGAUCGUUGCAUGGGCGUUGGUGAUUUUCUUUGACGUGUAAUUUACAUGCAAAGAUAAUCACAACCUUGUAUAUUAUUAAGUUUUUUAUUUUAAUUAAAUUAUUAUUAUUAUUAUUAAAUUUUAAAAUAUUAAUGGUUGCCUACCUACUAUAAUUAUUAGCUUUCCAUAUCUAUACAUUGCUUCCGAUUUGUAAGGUGGUAUUCCACUACCCUUAUUUUUCUUUUUGUUGGAAUCCGAACACGAAACCACCAACUUUUUUAAUUGUCUCCCCAUCUGUUUUUAUACUCAUCUUCAAUUAUACACUCACACACACAUACAUAUAUAUAUAUAUAUAUAUAUAUAUAUAUAUAUUCUGAUAGAAUUAAUAUAUAUAUUUCUUUGAAAAUAACUUCAGAUUAUUCAAAAAUUGUUACAUUAAUUCACACGUCGUCACAAAGAAUUAUUGCAUAUGUAGAGUAUCUGUUCAUCAGUGAUUUUCGUUGAUGCAUAUAAUUUUAGUGGUCCACUUCCAAUUUUUGUCAAAAUUAACGUUUCAAAUUAGUAGAUUUUACAUCUGCUUACGUCUAUGACUAUACGUAUAUAUAUAUACCCAAUAAAAUAUUUGUUUUAUAUUACUUUGUCGAUCUAAAUUAUUACAUAUUAUCAACGAGCACUCUAGAAGAAAGUUUUACAAGUAGAACAACUAACUAGUUAUACUUUUAUUAUGACAAUAACAACUGAGAGAAGCGUAUAUAUAUUGGGCAAGCAAUAGCACAUAAAUAUAGUGAGUGACACAAAUCGUACAACUCGUAAGUUGCUUGAAGAACUUACUUAAGGAUUAACAUCACUGCACUAAUCUGAUUUGGUAAUUGGAUUAAUUAAGAUCAGAAUAUAUUAAAGGGGAGUGUAGAAUCAAAUUGAUAGCAAUUAAGCAACCAUGUGAUUUAAUUAAUGGUAUCCAACUCUUGAUACCACCAUAUGUCGUCAUCCUCGAGCAUUAAUCUUUAAUACGAUUUGGUGGUCAAUAAAUCAAAUCCCCCCUCCCCUCCACUUAAAUUCCCAUAUUUAAUAAUCUUUAAUUUAACUAAAUAAAUUAAUUAAGAAAUAAAAAGAGAGUGUGAUUAAUUUAAUCGUAUGUGGAUGGAGACAGAUGGAAUUAAUUAACACAAAUUAACUUCUGUUUAACGAUGAUAAUCCCGCAAAUUAACUUCCAGCAAAGUGAAAGAUUCUAGGCAGCUUGUUGGAAUAUGGGGCUGUUAAUGGAUAAAGAAUCUCAAAAUAAAUUUAGGAAGUCAUCAUCCUGAUGGAAAACUAAGAGAUGAGGGGAAUCUAUUCAUUUCAUCCUAGUUAACAGAAGCCUACACUAGAAAUAGAAUAUAUGGCCUCGAUACACACACACGCAUAUAUAGAAUAUAAUAUAAUUUUAGAUGGGUUAGUGAAUAAAGUUUGAAAUCAAUGUAUCUUACUAUAUAAUAAAAAUAUUAUAUCUAAAUACAUAUAUAGUUUAUUAUCAGUCUUGUAACUUUCAUGGCAAGAGUAUUUCAAGUAACUUAUUUUGUGGCAAGAAUAUUUUAAAUUUAUUCUUAAUUCCUUUGUAACUUUAUUCAUAGAUCUUAAUUGUGUUGUGUAUUGUCAAUCAUUUAUUGACGUGAUAGAUGAUAUCUCAUUUUAUUUAUAAAAGAUUACGAGUAUAUUUUUAUUAUAAAAUUAUAUUAUAAUUAAUGUAUAUAUAUAUAUAAUUUAAUUAAUAAAAUAUAUAAAUUUUUACUUAAAAAAAUUAUAUUGUAUCUGAAAAACAAAAAAACUAUAUCUUAAAUUCAACCAUGUUGAAAAUAAAACAGGUAUAAAAAGAAUUAGAGUAUUUUAAGAGAUAUUUAAGUUAAUUAAUAUGGGUAAUAAUUGUUUUUUUGGACAUAUGGUGUGUGGAAAGUGUGAGAAAUAGUGGGUGGCUCUGUGUUUUGCUUUUAAUGGGAUAUAUAAAUAGACCAUAUCUCCAUUCUAGUUAUCUGCAGCAGCCAAAGAGAGAGAGAAGUGUAAGCUAGUAGCUUCCUUGCAAAAUUAGAAAGAAAGUAGAAGGACAUGGGAGAAGUAAAGGGAAGUGAAAUGUUGUUGAGGAGAUUAAACAAAAUUAAGCCCUACUUGGCUAUUUUGUCUCUGCAAUUUGGAUUUGCAGGGAUGUAUGUAAUUAGCAUGGUUUCUUUGAAGCACGGAAUGAGCCAUUUUAUUCUCGCCACCUAUCGUCAUGUUGUUGCUACCCUCGUCGUUGCUCCCUUUGCUUUUUUUCUCGAAAGGUCUUCUUUUUUUUUUUCAUCGGUUCAUAAUUUUUCAUUCUUCACCCAAAAUUAUACCUCUCGCUUACUUAAUGAAUCUUGUGUUCUUAACUUUUGUUACAGAAAAAUCAGGCCGAAGAUGACCCUUCCUGUUUUUCUUAGAAUUAUUGCACUCGGUUUCCUCGAGUAAUCCUCUACUCUUCCCACCUUUAAAUAUUCAACUUCAGUUGAUUAAUUAUUUCACCAAACUGAAAUAUAUAUAUAUACACACACACUACGUUUUUUUAAGUUAAAUUAGUUCGUCAGCAAGAAAUUGAUUUUAUAAAUAAAAUUUGGUUAUAUAUUUAAUUAGUGUGGUUAUUAUGGAGCAGGCCAGUGCUAGACCAGAACUUAUAUUAUAUGGGGAUGAAGGCCACUUCAGCGACGUUUGCUUCAGCUUCUGCCAAUGUCCUUCCCGCCGUUACUUUCAUAAUGGCUGUUAUUUUCAGGUAUUGAAUAAUUUUAAUGUCUAUGCGAAUAAAAAAAACUCAUCAACUUUUUUUUAAUGACUAAUCGGGUCAUUAGCUUUGGUGAAGAUAAAAUUACGUUUUACUUUUUACUAUUCUAAUUUUACUGAGUUAAUUUACAAUAUUAAGGUUAAAUUUUUUUAACAAUUGAAGAAAAAAAAUUUGAAAAUGUUGAUGAUUAGGUUGGAAAGAGUUAAUUUGAAGAAGGUGCACAGUGUAGCAAAAGUGAUAGGAACAGGAAUCACGGUAGGUGGAGCAAUGAUCAUGACAUUAUACAGAGGACCCAUCGUUGAGUUCUUCAAGUCCGGUGGAGUCAGCCACCAUGCAGCCGCCGCCACCACCACCUCCGAUGGAUCCUCCGACCAGCAUUGGGUCACCGGAACUCUCAUGCUCCUAGCCAGUUGCUGUAGCUGGGCUGGCUACUUCAUUUUGCAGGUAAUUAUACAUUUUUAAAAUUUUUUAAUUAACGAUAAUAUUGAAUUACUGGAGUGAUUAAUAAUUUUGAUUCUUGAAUGGGUAAUUUGUGAUCAGUCAUUUACGUUGAAGAUGUAUCCGGCGGAGCUGUCUCUUGCAGCAUGGAUUUGCCUGAUGGGCAUGGUGGAAGGUGCGAUUGUCUCCCUUAUUAUGGAACGUGACAUGAGUGUCUGGAUAAUUGGUUUUGACUCCAGGCUUCUUGCUGCAGCUUACUCCGUACGUAUAUAUUUCUAUAUACAUAUAUAUAUAUAUAUGUAUAGACACAAUAUUCGAUACUUACAAUGGGUAUAACUACUUUUUUGUUAGAUUCCAAAAUAUGUACAUAACCAAACUGAGCAUCUAAUAAUAUCAAGUGUAUAUAUUGUAAACAAGUUGAUGCACUGUUAAGUAAUGAUUCCUUUUCACUUGAGUAGUACAUAUAUAUAUAUGGCUAUCACAAUAUAUUCUGUCGUAAAAUUAUAUCUAUAUAUGUGCACGUAUAUAAUUUAAUUAUUAAAAGUGAAUAAUAUAGGGGGUGGUGUGCUCUGGAAUGGCAUAUUACGUGCAAGGAGUUUUAAACAGGCAGAGGGGACCGGUGUUUGUAACAUCAUUUAGUCCUCUUUGCAUGAUCAUCACUGCAGCUCUUGGAGCCAUUGUGUUAGCCGAGAAAAUCCACCUUGGCAGGUAAUUAAAUUAAUUACUAAUGAUGGGUUUAAUUAAUUAAUUAAUUAAUUGACUAAUUAACUAACUAAUGAUGGUAUUAAUGUAAUGGACCCGAUCAGCAUAAUCGGAGCGGUAUUUAUAGUGUUGGGACUGUACACGGUGGUGUGGGGUAAAAUCAAAGACCGUCGAAACGAAGAUACGAAUAAAUUUGGCGAUCAAGAAUUGCCGGUAACGAGUAAUUACGAAAAGACCAACGACGCCAACAACAACAACAUCACUCCGGCGACAACAUAACAUCUCUCUCUCUCAUCUCUCAUCUUUUGUAAUCAGGGCUGCCUGCUAUCUAUAUUUUCCUAAUUUUUCUUUUUCUUUUUUUGUUUCAAGGUAAGAUGAUAUUCAAACAUAUGUAUUUACCUUGUUACUUUUACUUUUUACUGUUGAGAUUUCAAUGCAAGUAAUUGAAGUAAAUCACCAAUUUUACUUUCGUUUACAGUGCUCCUGUUUCAAAUUCUGAAACUAGCUUGUCUUGGUCCCUUGGGUCAGUUUCUGCAUGAAAUAAGACCCAGUUAAGUCUUAACAAGACAAGAGAUUAAUUGUAUUUCAUUACUAAAAUUAAAUUUUCUUUAUAAAAAAAAACAAAAACUCAAGAAGGACGUAUAACGUCGGCGAUGGAAGCUGGGAGAAAAUUCUCUGAGAGAAAAUGUAAUCUACUAAACAAAAGUAUGAACAAGAAUAAGAAAGUAAAUGGGCCGACAUCUUUUGAUAUCCAAGCAUUCUUGAUGAGAGUCCAUGGAUCGAACUAAGUACUGGAUCUUUUAGAAAUUCCCUAAUUCGAGAUUAAAAAAAAAAAGGGGGGGGGGGGGGGGGGGGAGCAUUUCCCCUGCCUGUGAAGCUGGUAGUGAUGAGGAGAGAUUAAAGAGACUGACAUCCAUGAAUCCGAUCAUCAUAGUCAAACUGAUUAGACAGACGAAUCACGAAUUUCAACUUAUUCGGUUUAAAUUAUCAAUUUCCCCCGCAACCCAUAUGGUGAUAUGCAUUUAGUUGAAAUGGGUAACCAUCUCUUCUUCUUUUUGUUUCAAUCCUUCUAAAAUUUGAACACAAAGAGGACGGCAUUAAAGUUCUCCGAAAAACUCCGGCUAAUAAAUGGUCGAUUCUUCGUGAGCUUUCGCCCGACUCCAGCUCGAAUUUGGAGCUUUCUCCAAUGGAUUUCUGCCAAGUAGCGGCCCUGCUACCCUGCCAAGCCCUUCUCCUUGCUCUCUACUUUCAUUUCGAAGGUGGAUCAAAAAAGAGAUUUUCACCCUUCCCCAAAAAAUGGUGUCGUCCCCGAGGAGAGUAAGUGAAUGGGCUGAGCUAGAUUUAUGCGUUCUGUUGGGCCGGAAUCGGGCUUCGUAAGGAACGGUCUGUGUUUGCGUGUUGUAAGACUUGUAUUUGGGUUGGGUUUCAAUUAAGGUGUGCUCUAUUUAUUUAUAUUUGGGCUAAAAUUGAGGGGUCGAACUGGAUUAGGUUCUGGGCAUUGAAUAAAAUAGAAAUGGGAGAAAAUGGAAGUGGGUUUUAAACUUUAAAGAAACCAGAUAUAUGCGUAUGCAUAUAUAGUGUUUUAGGCAUAAUUUACAAAUAUGUGGAUGAAGAUUUUCCGCAAUUGUAUGAGUUUCUUUAGAACAAAUAAUUAUGAUGAGGUGAGACACAUAGAACGAGAGAGAAAGAUUGGUCAUUCCUGUUGAUGUGCUGUAAAGCACGAUAAUGAAGAAACGGGAAAUUGUGAUGUGGAUCAUACAAAAAAGCUCUCUCAGUUGCUGUCAUUCAAUCCAUAAAUAUGCAGGAGAAGAAUUAUAUAUUCACUAUCUUAUUAUGUUUCUCUUGUUAUCAUUUGCUUUAAUAUUUCCCCUCUAGUGGGAAGAUAAUUCUUAACCGCAUCUUUUCAUCUUAAUUCUGUACCUAUCAUACACUUCUCUCUCUCUCUCUCUCUCUCUCUCUCUCUCUAUAUAUAUAUAUAUAUAUGCAUAUCAAUGAUAUAAUAUAUCUAAUCAUACAAUAAUUAGUUAAACAUCAAGGGAAAAAUGACGUUUUCAUGGCUGCUUACCUACUAUGAUAAAGUUUACUUGCCAUACAUGAUUAAAAAAGUUAGCUACCCAUUAAUUUUUACGAGGUGCUUCACUAACUUAAGUUUUUAGAAAUUGGAAUCCAAACACGAAAGCACCAACUUUAGUUGCCUACCCAUGUAUUUUAACACUCAUUUGCCCAAAAUAUUAUUAUAUACAUUUCCUACUUUUUUUCUAGUACUAACAUAUGUGUGUGUGUGUGUGUGUGUGUGUGUGUGUAUAUAUAUAUAUACCAAUGUCCAAAAGCAAAAGUAUGCAUACAUAUAUAUAUAUAUAUACGUGGAUACAUACAUGUGAUUAUGGCAAUCUUAUUAUAUGUCUCUUAUAUCUUUUUUAGUAAAGUUUCAGCAUUAUUCGUUUAGAGUUAUCCAAUGUUAUCCAAUAUUUUAACUGCAAAUUAUUUAUGACCCAUGACCCGAACCUAACGCAUGAUGUUCAUCAUUCGUUGUAAUAUUAAUAUAAUAUUAAUGUACGUGAACUGUGCAUAUAAGGUCAGAAAUGGCAGCCAUUGAUGCUCCUAAAAUUUAUGUCCCCAUUAAAAAAUAUACUAAUUUUCAGUACAUUUGCUUUAGUACGGUUAGAAAUCACUAUUCUCCGCUUCACAUGAAUCAGCAUGUCAGUAAGAAAUAUACCUAAAAAAUUAUUCAGCUACCAAGCGAAGAACAAUAAGCAUAUGCUUUCUUUGAUCUUUACAGCUCUUCUUCUUUCAGAUAUAUGCUUUAUAGGCAACUAGAGUUUUUUAAGAUGCUCAUCAUCACAUGCUAAACCAAUACUAUCUAAUCAGCUAGGUAUAUGAUGUGUGUGUGUGUGUGUGUGUAUAUAUAUAUAUAUAUAUGAACGUAUCAAGUAGAUAGGGUAUAUGUCUGAUACAAGCGUAUAUAUGUAUAUGGUUUUCUUUGAUAUAUUCUUUUAAACCUUGAUUUAAUUUCUCGUAAAUUAAUCCUAAAGGCCUCUUUACCUAUCAUCAAAUUAAAGAUUUAUGUGCAAGUUCAAGAAUAUUUUUACAUUACUUACAUGUAUAUAUAUACAUAUACGUAAAUACGUAAAUACACGUAUAUGUACAUAUAUGGUAAGGUGAGGUAAUCGAACUUUUAAUUUCAGAAAUGCUAUCCACUCUUCAUAGCACCUAUAGAAAUAGAGGCUCCACACCGACACCGCAUGCAUUUGCAAGCAUUGUCUUGGAGCACUAAGACCUAUUGCCAUUUGCUGGUAGUUAUUAUAUAUAUAUAUAUGUAUGUAUGGUAUGUAUGUAUGUAUGUAUAGGUAUUUAUAAUUAUCACUCUUUUGUACAUAUUAAAUAAGUUGAAUUAGGUCGCACCUGACAUGCUAUGCAAUAAUAUAUAUUGGAUUAUUUUGUCUUUGCAUGGAAGUGAGGUAUGGAAUAAUUUGGUGAUUAAUGAUUUUUUUAGAAAAACCGUGUCACAACGGGAGUGGUCACGUGGGUUUUGCUUUAUAUAUAUGUAUAUGUAUGUAUAUAUAUAUAUUAUUAUCUGUUACUUAUAUUCUGAUAGAUCUUAAUUAUCAAUCAUUUAUCUCUUCUGAUAAGCUAACCCAUCAUUUUAGGUUUAAGUCAAUUAUAAAAUUUUAAAAGAUUUUUAUAGAAAGAAAAUUUGGUGAUGCUAGUUUGGUAAAAAGAUUAAGCCUUAAUUAAGUUAUUAUAUUAAUUAAUACGAAACUUAUGGAUAAUUGGUGUUACGGAAGAAUGUAAUGCCGUACGUGCCCAAAGAUUAAUAGUUGCAAAGAUACUUCAUGGUGGGAGAUUAGGUUAGGUUAAACCUUUUUUUUGUCAAAUUUAUAUAGUCUAUAUACAUAUAUAUAUAUAUAUAUAUAUAUAUUACACAGAUACUAGCUAGUUAGAUAUCAAAUAUAAAUCUAAAGGCAGGUGAAAGUCUUAAUUUGAGAUCAUAUUGUAAAAUUUGUGAAUAAAUUAAUCUGUUAAGAACAUAUAAUUAAAUAAAUAAGUUGUAUUAUGUUUUAAAAAUUAAAAUUCUAAAAUAAUUCCAUAAGUACAAUCAAUUAUGCAAACUCAUACGUAUCUAAUAGAUUACAAAUUAAUAUCGUCUUAUAUAUAGUACAUAAUAAUUAGAACAACCAAAAAAUGCAUAACUAAUAUGCUUUAUCUCUUGUUGUUUAUCCUUAUAUAUAUAUAUACAUAUAUAUAUAUUGCAAAUAGUUUGGUGCAUGUGAUAAUUAGUUUUCAUUUUACCUAAAAUUAUCAUUUAAAAAAAAAAUUAUUUAUCAUCUUAUAAUACGUAGUAUUUCAAUUUUAAUUUAUUACAUUUUAAUUUUUUAUAUAUCCGUAUUUAGAAGCUAAGACAAAUAUAUAUUAUAUAUGCGAUAUAAAAGAAUAAAAUAUGUAUAAUAAUAAAAAAUAAAACCAGAAACUUAUUAAAUAAUUAAAUAAAAAAUUUUAAAAAAUUAUAUAUAUAUAUAUAUAUAUAAACUAAUAGAGACGAACAUGCAUAUUAAGUGAAAAAUUAUAAUCAUAUACAAAACCAUGUUACAUGUGCUAAUUAAAUUGAUAAUGGAGAUAUCUUUUUCAUUUUGGGUAUAAUGGGAUCUAUGUUAUAUGUCUUUAUAUAUGUUUCGUGUGUGUGAGUGUGUGUAUAUAUACAUAUAUAUAUAUAUAUAGAUAUGCAGAUCUGAGAUGUGAGGUCAUCAUAUAAAGAAUUAAAAAUCAGAAAGAAAAAAUAGAAAAGAAGGGAGAAAAAGUUAGCUUUAGUAUAUUCAGAGAGAUACUAAGAGUAACUUUCUACAGGUAAGGAUAUUCUAUUUGAUUGGAAUAUACAGAAAUUAGGAUAAUAUCAUAUAAUACUAUUUGUAUUGCAUAAAUGGAUCAGAAGAAUCUUUGCCCAUACAAUAAUUUUUCUAAAUCAGAGAGACAAAGAAAAAAUUGCAUGACGUGUGAUUUUAAUAUAUAUAUAUAUAUAUAAUAUAUAUGUAGAAUAAUGGGGUGUGUAAUAAUUUCCUCCUAUAAAAACCACCCUGCAUCUCCUCUCCUUGUCAUACCCACAACAAGUACAUGAGCAGCGUGUACCGCCUCUGAAACUCGUACAAAACAAAAAGAAAGAGAAAGGAUGUUCAAUACGGUGCCUUUAAUCCUGAAAAAGAUGACGCCAUACCUGGCAAUGGUGUCAAUGCAGUUUGGAUACGCAGGGAUGUAUAUAAUCACCUUGGUGUCUUUGAACCGGGGCAUGAACCAUUACAUACUUGCUGUGUAUCGUCAUGCCAUUGCCGCCCUUGUCAUGGCACCUUUCGCUUUAAUUCUUGAGAGGUCUCUCAUCCAUCUACCUUUUCUCCAUUCGCCUCUUCCAUUCUUAUCUAUCUAACAUGUAUACGAUAUACACACAUAUAUUUAUGUAUUUCUUAUGUUUAUAAUUAAGGAUAUUUAAACUUACUGGUGCUUGCUUGGUUUUUAUUGCAGGAAAAUAAGACCGAAGAUGACGUUCCCCAUCUUCCUAAGAAUAAUGUUGCUUGGUUUUAUCGAGUAUGCAUGCCAUAUUACUUACACCCCAUCUUUAUCUAUGUAACAUACCAUGCAACAUGCACGAGCAUAUUCUAAUCUCCUACAUGGACAACAUAUGUAUGUAUAUAUGAGUUUUAGGUUUUACAUAAUCAAUAACUUUCAGCGUUCCAAAUUGAUAAUUAUCUUAAAUUUCUUCCCAGCGAUAUUUGUUGUUGUUGUGUAAGACGAAAUGUACACAUAUAUAUCAGUAUAAUUAUAUAUAUUAUAUAUACAUAUACACAUACAUACCUGUGCAUUCUGAAAAAAAUAUUGGAUUUAGACAUGGAAGAAGUAACACUUGAUAUAUAUGUACAUAUAUUUGUAUGAUUACAUGAGGACUAAAUUCAGUAUUGGUUUAACAAUAUAACAUGCAUGGUCUGAGAGACUAUAUACAUAUAUGUACGUGUAUGUAUAUAUAUAUAUAUACUAUGAACGUAUGAACAUAAUAUGGGUAAGUGAUCAUACCAAUUGAAGUUCUUAAUAUAUUAAUUAAGAGUAAAAAUAUUAAUUAGAAGUAAUUUGUUUUCCAUGAAUAUUCCUAAUUGUUCAUACGCAUAUGCAUCAUAAUUGAUUAUAAUCUAUUAAUUUUCCAUAAAUUAACAGUGAAUUAUUGUGGGUUAAUGAUUUUGCAGGCCAGUGCUGGACCAAAACCUGUACUACAUAGGCAUGACAUACACGUCCGCAACAUUUGCCUCCGCCACAGCCAAUGUUCUUCCUGCCAUAACUUUCAUACUGGCCAUUACUUUCAGGUACAUACCUACAUAUAUAUAUAUAUAUAUAUAUACGUAUAUGGAUAUAAUAUAUUUUUUCAAUUAAAUUAAAAAUACAUUUAAUUAUUAUUAAACUAUCUCAUCCUCUCAUCUCCAACUCUUUUAGUGCAAGAAUUAGCACGUACUUACCAGCUAGUGCCAGCAGUCCCAUCAUGCCACCUUAUCACCAGAUGCCUCUCUCUUGUUCUCCAUCAUCCUGAUCUGAUAAUCACAUACUUGAUCAAAAUUUGUAUCUAACUGAUUACUUAAUUAAUGUAAUCUGCAGGUUAGAGAAGGUUAAUAUGAAGAACAUAUAUAGCCAGGCCAAGGUGAUCGGAACGGUAAUCACGGUAACAGGAGCGUUGCUCAUGACUUUAUACAAAGGACCCAUCCUUCAAUUCAUAAACAGCGGCGGAUCAACCAAUCACGGAGGCCCCGUCAACGCUGUCAACAAGCAUUGGAUCGCUGGCACCCUUAUGCUUCUUGGUAGGACUGUUGGUUGGUCAGGAUUCCUCAUUUUGCAAGUGAGUAAUUAGUGCACAACUUAAUCAAUUAAUGAUAAUUAUGAGUAAUUAAAUGAUAAUUAUGUUAAUUAAAUUGUGGUCUGUGACCAGUCAUUUACGUUGAAGAAGUACCCAGCAGAGUUGUCUUUGACAGUACUAAUAUGCCUAAUGGGAACGGUGGAAGGUGCGGCUGUGUCACUUGUCAUGGAACGUAACAUGAGCGCCUGGAAAAUUGGAUGGGACUCCAAGCUCUUUGCCGCUGCUUACUCUGUGAGUGGCAGAUUAAUUUGAAAAAGAGUAAUUAAUUAUUAUUAUUAUUAUUAUUAUUAAAUCGUGAUUAAUAUAAUUAAUUUUGAUUAAGCAGGGAGUGGUGUGCUCUGGAAUCGCAUAUUAUGUGCAAGGCGUGGUGAUGAAGAAUCGAGGGCCGGUAUUUGUAGCAACCUUCAAUCCUCUCUGUGUAAUCAUCACUGCAGCUCUGGGUGUUAUUCUUUUAUCUGAAAGAAUCCACCUUGGAAGGUACUUAUAUAUAUAUAUAUAUUCAUUAUUAUAUUAUAUCAUAAUUCAAUAUCCAAUAUAUAUAUAUAUAUAUAUAUAUUCAAACGUUUUAAAAAGAGGAUUGAUUGUUGGUGUUGUGAUGAAAUGGCAGUGUGGUUGGAACCAUUUUCAUAGUUAUUGGCCUAUACGCUGUCGUUUGGGGAAAGAGCAAAGACAAUAAGAGCUCUGCGAUAAUCAUUGAUGAGGAUGAAAAAGGUGGAACCCCAGAAUUGCCCAUCACAGAUCCUGUCAAACAAAUCAACGACACCUCCCAUGAAACCGCUUAUGAAUUGAAGAACAAGACUGUUUCAACUUAGGAGCUAUAAUUUUUCAAAGACCCAAAAAAAAUAUAUAUAUAUUUUCUGAAAAUUUAUGCUACAAUGUUGGAGUGGAAGCUAUUAUUCUGUAUAAGCCUCUGUCCUUUUUUUUUUUUUUUUGUUUUACUUAUAUUUUUUUGUAAGUUUCAUAAAAUUGGAGGCAUCUUUUUGUAUCUGUGAAAUUUCCCAUCAAAAGCAGAAAUAGCAUUUGAUCUCAAGUUCUUUACUUGUUCGAUAUGGGAUUGCAUCCCGUACCACCCUCGGUUGUGCAAAGUAUAUAAGCGAAUAAGGGUAAAUAGAAUAUCAACUCAACAUAGUUCAAAUUGCGGUAUAUGCCAAAACCCAUGUGAUAUAUUCCCUAUAAGUCGCUUUUUCUCUAGCCUAACUCUAUUCAAGCUCAUGUUUCUUCUCAAUCUUCUUGAAAUUGGGCCUAUUAGAUGUACACCAAAUUUGUUCUUUGCAGCAAGUUGUUCAAGAAAUCCUCCAACGUAUACUUUGUGUGUUAAAUAACCAUUAAAUUCAUUGUUUCCAAUUGCAAAUGAUAAAUGUUUGAAAUUAUUCAUCUACGAGGGAAUAGAUCUCAAAAAAUUUCAUCGAAUGUUGGGUUUGAUCAAGUUUUUAAACAACAAUUAGUUCUUUAUUGAAAACAAAACAGAAUCAAACUUGUUAAAUUUUUUGAAAUAUAUAGUUGAAUGCAAGAAGUUAUAAUAAGUACGGAUUAUUUUUCUUAAAAUAUCAUAUACUCACUAAUUUAAGUAGAGAUGACAACAUGAUAGAUUUACAACGAAUUGUAUUAUAUUCAAAUUCAACUUGAAGAAUAAAUUCAAACUCAUAAUUUUUUAAACUAUGUUGAGUCUAUGAGUUAUUCGACCCAAACCCAACUCAAGAGAUUUAUUAUAUUUAUUAGUAACGAAAUUAAAAUUAAAUAUAUAUUAAUUAUAUUUAUUAAUAUAAAAGAUAAAUAUAUUUAAAAUAUAUGUAUAACAAAUUAGAUUCGCACGAGUUUUGAAAUACUAAAUUUGAACUCGCCCCAACUUAACUCUUUAUUUACUUAAUCUAAAUUUAAAUCGAUUAAAUUAAAUGAGUUUGGUGUAAAAUAUAAUUAUUAAGAUUAAGUCACGUUAAAAAUUAUUUAAGCAAGCAAUUGUAGAAGGUAGAUGACAUUUUUUGUGAACCACCCUUUUUAUAUGUAAAAGAUAUUCUAAAUCAAUUGAGAAUUGAAGAAAUUUUAUUAUUUAUAAAUAGAAAUUAUCUUUUUUUUUUCUUUUUUUGCAAUCAAUUUUGCUACUAAAUGUAAAUUUUAUAUUGUGUAUAGUUGUAUUUUUGAAUAUAUUAGUCAAAAUAAUUUUUUUUUUUUUUAUAAAUCAAAGUUCAUUUUCAAACUAUACAAUUUUUUUUUUUGAACUUUAUGAAUAUGAAUGAAUUUAUUUAUAUCAUAUAGUGAAUAUAUAGAAAUUUAAAUUUGCCAAAUAACUCAUAUGAUGAUUUUGUAGGAGUUUCCAUUGGGUCAUUUGGCUUUUUUUUUUUUUAUUGGACAAAUUUUGUAUGAAAUAAUAAUUUAAUUUAAUACAAUAAAACUAUAAACUCGUAAAUGCUAAUUUCUAAAAUAUUCAGACAGGAAUAUUUCCGGCGGACCCCACAAGAAUUGUGUCCCAGUCAAUUACAAGUAUCUUUCUUUCUUUUUUUUUUUUUAAUCACCACGGAGAUAUCUGAUUGGACGCAAUUGGUUAGUAGCAUAAAAGUGAAUGUACUCUAACAUCUCUCCCCGCCGUCAGAUUCAUACAGUAAAAGACCAGUAGGAUCAUUUUUCUUCUCUCUUCUCCAAUUGGCCCGGUCUCCUCCGAUUCUCUCUCUCUCUCUGCACCUUCUACCGCGAAACAGAGAAAAAGCCGAGAAGGCCAGAGGAAGAGAGGGAAAUGGUUAUGUGGGUGUUUGGAUAUGGUUCUCUUAUAUGGAAAGCCGGUUUCAACUACGAUGAGCGCCUCGUUGGUUUCAUCAAGGGGUACCGCCGUGUCUUCUAUCAAGGUUCUAUCUCCUUCUCUCCUUUUCUUGGAAUGUCUGGAUACGUAUGGACUCAUUAUUUAUGAAUCAUUAAAUGGUGUUGAUGUAGGAAGCACCGAUCACAGAGGAACAAUCGAUUAUCCAGGAAGAACAGUCACAUUGAUUCCUGCAGAUGGGGAAGUCUGUGUAUGUGCUCUUUCUUUCUUGCUUUCACUUUCGUUUAAAUACGUCUAAUAUAAUGAUAAGAAUGAGAAUACGCAAGGAGUAAGUGUAUGGUUAUGAGUUCUGAAACUAUCAGAGUUACUUAGCAAUUACAGUGGAGGUUCAAACAUUCAACAAAAUAUUCUAGCAAUUAGUAAUGGAGGAAAGAAUUGGCUUCUAAUUUAUGGGUUCUUAUGAUAACCGACGACAGAAUUGAUUUUAAUUGGUGGGUUUCAUGACAAGGAAAUAAUUGGCUCGUGAUUGAUUGACUGCUACUUGCAGUUCGAUAAUUUAUGGAUUCAUGUGGAUAUCUGAUUGGGAGAGAGAUGAUUUUUAGGUCGUAAUAUCAGUGUUAUUCUUAAUUUACCCGCCAUAAUCAAGGUAUUGUAGCGGGAGAUUAUGUUCCUUCCCUUUUUGGUCCAAGUAUCAGAAUUAUGCCUCUUUUUUUUAGAGUUUUUGAGGAGUCAGAAGCGUUAUUGUCGAUAUCUCCUGUUCUGAAAUGAAUUCUUGCCCGCGAAACAUAGCUGAAAUCCUCAAUUAUCAUGUCAUGAUUCUGGGUAUUUACAUCCAUAACAUUGUUGCAGAGGAAAUAUAUUUGAAGGGAGGAAAAAUGUCUAGGUUGUGGAAAUUACAUGAUUUACAUAUUUACAUAUCUAAUGGUGGAAAUAGAAGAUUCUCAAUACUAAUACUUCUAUUUGAAUUUUAAGAAAAACAGGCAUAGAUCAGGAAUAGAUUGUCUAAAAAUAAAAUGCAGCUGCUUUCCUUCAACAACACAUGAUUUUUAAGCUUUACCCUACCACAACAGAACUACAUUGUCAAUAUGCAUAAAAUCUGUUUUCUCAAUAUGGAUGCAAGAUUAUCAAAUGAGACUCAAUAUCUGAAGUAGAUUGUUCCUUGAUGUUGCAAGGUCACAGUGGGGAGCUGCCUACAAGAUUUCUAAGAAGGAAGAUAAAGAAACUGCAUUCACGGUAUUGUUUUCUGUAUGCCUUUUUACUUCAAACUUAGGCUGUUAGUUUACUCCUGCUCUCUGCUGUAGCUUUUUCUUUUCUUCUUUUUGAUUUCUUGUAGUUGUGUUGUACCUUUUAUGCUUCCAGUGUAUGUGAGGUUGCUCAUUAUUUUUUGGCUAUUUCAGUGUGUUUUCUUCAUGUUAAAGGCCUCCUGGAAACUUCUUGUCAUCUCACUGAAUCCUGUUUUAGUUACACAUGAUCAUGAUAUAAGACACAUACCCAUAAUUUAGCUAAAUUAUCAAGCAUGAAUAUGUCUAGACGCAUAAAAAAAUGGUGGCAUCGAAAAGGCAAAGAUGAGCUUAUUUUUUCGUAUUAGACCUCUUCUGUCAGAAAGUACAUUUAUCCUUAUAAGCUUGCCAGACCCUUCCUUCUGUAUUUUGGUUUUUCUUUCAUAAGAAUGAAUGUCGAUACAAGUUGUGAGCACUUAAUCCUUCUAGAACACUGACGUACCUUGUACUUUUAUCAUCCAGAAUUUCUAGAAUUACCCUUGUUAUUCCAAUUUUGGUUGUGAAUCUGUUUGUUUCAACCACAUUUUAUUAUUUUCUGAUUCAAUUGUUGAUUUAUUUCUUUCACUUUCUUUGUCUUUUAUGGCAGUAUUUAGAAGUGAGAGAAAAACAGUAUGACAAAAAGGCUUAUCUUGACUUCUUCACUGUGAGUUCUGAGUGCUAAGACUUCAGUUAUGGAUGCUAGGCUUUUAUCAGUCAUAUAAUGACUACUAAUAAAUAUUUCAGGAGCCUAAUGCAUCAACUCCAGCAAUUUCAGGAGUCAUGGUGUAAGUGGUAGAAGCAGCCAUGGCCUACUAUGUCUAUGUACUCUGUAUUUCCUAGAGUUAACUAGAACCACAUUGACACCAUUUGCAGAUACAUAGCAUCUCCUGACAAGAAGCUCAACAAAAAUUAUCUAGGGCCAGCAUCUCUUGAAGAUAUUGCCAAGUAUGUUUCGUCUAUAUGUGCAGUUUAGCUGUCGGUUGAGAAUGUCACUCAUUUGAAUGACAAAUUCUUCAUGAAUAUGAAACUUCACCUCUAGAUGUAUUUUGAGCCACAGGCUCAUAAAUUAAGACCUAAUACUACAAUUGUCACUGACCGCACUGCAGAAGAGAAAGGUCUCUACAGUCCAUAACUUAUAAUAAAUUUCUAACGGUUUUAUCUGCUCUGCUCCUUGAAACAUCUGUAUUUUUAUGUUUAAUAAAUAUAAGUUCAGAUGACAUUGCUAUGAAAUUUUGUCAGGAGGUGACCUUGUUCUCCCGUCUGAUUGCAGAUUGCUAAAUGGGUGCUCCUGCAUUAUAGUGCACCUUAGUUCCUACUGGGUUUAAGGCCUGGCUAUGAAUAACUAGUUUUCUCCUUUUCUUUUUCCCAUUUCUGCAGUCAAAUUGUUAACGCCGAAGGCCCCUCUGGACCCAACAGAGACUACCUUUUCCAACUUGAAAAGGCUCUCGUUCAAUCGGGUACGCAUCCUUGAGAACUCAGCUUGUUUGCUGUAAAUCAUUGCAACACUGUGCUUCUAGCAGAUUUUCUCUUUUUUUUUUUUUUAACCCUACAGGAUGUAAAGAUAAACAUGUUAUAGAUCUCGCUAAUGAAGUAAGGCGUAUUCUCUUGGAGAGAGAAAAUACUGGUUCAUGAUCCUACAGUUUACAGAAAAUUAGAUCAAGUUACCGUCAUACUAAGCCUCAGUUUAUUCCCCGAGGCAAUCUAUUGAAUCAUUAUCUUCUGAUGGAGAGUCCAUUUCACUAAGCCAACUUUUAGGUUAAUAGUUAUUGUCUCUGACCGGAAGGUAUACCUCUGAAUCUGGAGCUUGAGAAGGCUGAUUCUAUUGUUUAAGGUUGAAGAUCAUUGCAUUCUUAUGCCCUUACAUGGACCAACAUUUCUGGGCUGUAUCAAAACAAUGUAUUACCACCAUGAUUGGUGUUACCAAGGGUGCUUUAAUGCUACACCCCUUAAAAUACAUCCGAGGACUGUAAAACUCAAAAAAUAUUUUUUAUCUUUCAUUAAAAAAGUAAUAGGUGUAUACUGGAUGUUUUCUUUUAGAAGACAGUUUUAACGAAAUUAUUUUUAUUUUUGUCAGACCAAAAAAUUGUACUUGUUUCUUCAGAAAAGGACUUUUCCCUGUAAAAACCAGUGAAUUUCCUACUUGUUCCCUGAUCUGCAAGUGAAGAGCGUUCCUUUUUUUUUUUUUUUUGUCUCCCCUUCGUAAUACAUUAUGAAAAUUAACGUGUUGCCUGUUAUGGUACUAUCACAUUAAGACACUGUUUUAGAGUUUAUUUUUGAAAAUUUUAAUAUAUAUGAUAGCGUAUUAACAUAUAAUAGAGAAUAUAGAGUAAAUUAUGCAUCUUAGGAUCCAGUUAAGUUCAUUUGUUCAACUUCUAAACUGGAAAUUUGAGAAGAUUUAAUACUUUAAAAGUCUAGAAAAUUCACGAAAAAACUUUUUGAAUCUCUUAAAAGAAUUAAAAUUUGAAACUUAAUUUAUAAGUCAAUACUUAGUUAUUGGUAGAUUAAGCCUCCUUAAAAUCCUUGACCUUUUGUAUGCAUUAUUACAAAGUCAGAAUAACAUUUAUAUUCUCCCUGAAAUUUUUUUUUUCCCCAAAUAUUAUAAGAGCUGAUUCUAAUGAUAAUAACAAUUUCAUUUUAGGGGGCCUUAAUUGUCUCCUGAUCAUCUUCGUACUUCUAAUAGGAAAAGAAAAUGUUAAGAUCUUUUGGCCAACAUUUUUGUAUAUAUUUUUCUUAAUAAAAAAAAAAAAAAAACCUAAAUUAUAUGAAUCAAAGUUUAAACCUCAUAAAAAAGUAAUUUAACAAAAUAUUUUUUGAACAUUAAACAACCUAAAAGUUUCAUGAUUUGUCCUAUAAAUUUAAAACACAACAAAAUCCCCCCCGACAAAUAUACCAAUCGUUUUGGACAUUGAAUUUCAAUAUUCUACCAUCGGGCUAAACAGAUCUUGGCUCUAUUAUGAGGCGAAGUUAUUGAUCAAACCAUAUUAAACCAUUUAUAGAUACUGCCAUUAGCUUCUCUGAAUAUCUGAUAACUACGAGGGCAACAGAACACUAGUAGCCAGUGGCAUCACUUACUGAAUGGAUGCUCAACUGAAUGACUCUCGACAGAACAGGCUGCUUCAGAAAUAGCACCUGUGGUAUUGGGAGUAUAUGAAAAAUUCCAGUUUUAGAUCUAAAAAAUAACAUCUUCACACAAUAAUUUUCUCAAUCAUGUUAGUAUUUGGUUUCUACUACAUUCUGCAAAACAAGGAAAAAACCACAUCAAAAUCGAGGCAAGACCUUCGAGAUUACCCAAUUCCAGCAUUACCUACCAAGAAAAGUGGCAGAAAUUUCCACCGUUCAAUCAAAACCUCUGGCUAGUUGACACAAACUGCCUGAUUCAUAUGAGACAACCACAAAGUUGGAUGGGGAUCCAUUCAGGAGGUUCGAAUAGAUUUAGCUUCCUCUUAAAAAUAGACCUCAGAUCCAUCAAUCAGGGUAAAUAAUGUGAGUCGAAAAAGAAAUUAACGAUGGUCAACAUGAACAGUUCUGACUGUUUUCACAAGCCAUCAGCAUAUUUACAACUGAAAAAUGUCUUAAACUUAGAACACACCUUUUGGAUCAAACUAAUACUGCACAAUUCUACGAAUCUCUGUUCAUGGAUCAUCAUACCAAUGACAAGCCCAAGCAGAGAUAGAUCCUGGAUCCCUCACCAACUCCACAUAUUAGAAUAACAAAAAGAAAUUUAUCUAAAAUAAAAAUAAUAAUACAUCUAUUUUUUCUAACUGCCCCAAACAUCUUGUUCUUGGACAUCUUGAACUCUAAUACUGGAUUAAUCACUUUCCUCGUCAUCCUCUUCUGCAAUACGGUAGAGGGAGAAUGUAAGGAGAAACAAGAUGAUGACUUCCAAUUUGUAACUUACAAAAUGCUCAAUCAGUGAUAUUACAGAAUGCUCAAUGUUCACUAAUUGUACAUUCAAAUUAGAGCAAUAAGAAACUAAGGCCCUCUUUAGUUAUAGAAAACUCUGACGUUUUGUCAAAAUUUACCUAUGUUUGUAUAGAAAAAUUUGUAUGGUUGAUGAAAAUGAGAACAUGGUUUGGGAAAUGAUACUGAAAAUAUAGUAUGCAUUUUAAAACAAUAAAAUCAUGUUUUCCAAAUUAUACAAUAUUUUUAUUAUCGUUUUCAAAUCACAUUUCAUUUCAAUAGUCAAAAUAUUCUUCUACACAAACACAAAAUAAUUUAGAAAGUGAACAUAAAAGAGUAUUAAGUGUUUCCAUAUCAAUAUAAUAUAUUACGUACCUUUUUUUAUUUGGAUAUAUAUAACAUAGACCAAACUUUAUUUAUUCUUAAAUUUUAUAUAAAUGAAGAUUAACUAGUUCGUAUGCAAAAGCAGUCAAAAAGUUCAUUCAUAUUUACUAAACUAAGCAUGAAGAUUUUAGUUAUAAUUACUACAGGUGAAGAGUAUCAUAGAAGGAAUUUGCAAUUUCAUGCAGCAGGAAACAAGUCUGUUAACUCAAAGUCUUCCAAGGAUAUGGAAUUCUAACUCCUAUUAAUAUGAGAUUACAAAUUAUGAUGUUUAGCCCAUAUAAUUUAUAGAGCUCUAAGAUUACUAUUGAAAAAGAAAAAGGAGAACCAAAAACCAUCCAGAGCUUCAUUACAUAAUAAGGAUAUUUUGUGAUUCUUUUUCUUCAAUAUAUAGGCCUUGAUUUGCCUUAAAAGUAUUUAUGAGUAGCUCUAAACGCUCUAUUCAAAUUUACCUAUUUGGUAAUGUAAUGAGUUAGCUAUUUAUUAGAUACUCAUAACCAACUUUAAUCAUGCUAUUCUAAUAUUAGUUUGCUAUAGUAAUAAGAAAACCAUUUAAUUACCUCUCACGUAAAAAAGGAGGAAAGAAAAAAGAAAAAUUCCCCUGACUUUUAGGAUGUUGAUUCAAAAUACUUACUUUACCUAUGUUUUUAGUAAACAUCUUUAACCAAACUCAUAAUUAAUUAUUUUUAAUCAGCACCUAGGUGCCUUUGAAGCACUUUUUAAGCAGAUUUUUUUAAUAAACCAAGCACCCUAUUGGGUCAAAUGACUUAAAUAGAAAAGCUUGAAAUUAAUUAUGGGAAACUAAAAGCUAGGAGAAAUACUAGUUGUGACAAUAUUCUACUCUGCGUCUGCAUCAAGAUUACUUAUUACAUUAGAGCAUGGUUUGAUCCUUUGCAAAAAAGAAAUACUGAAAUUGACGGUGCUUGACCUAUGUUAAAAUAUUGAUGACAGACCACAACCUUCACUAAUCACCACUACCAUUCUCUUAAUUCCCAAGCCCAGUCAUAAAGUAAGCAGCAAACAAAAAGAAACCAUUAAAAAUUUAUGAAACACUUACCCUCAUCAAACUCCUCACUGUGGCUCUCAUCACUGUCAUUAUUAUCAUCGUCUUCAUCAUCGCCCUCAUCAUCUUCAUUUUCAUUAUCAGUAUCUUUAGAAUCAUCAACAAUAUUUUCAUCUGGAAUUUUGGGCUUUGGUGGAGCAAUAAAACUGGUGGCAGACCUUCUGCGUGAACUUGAAACAAUAUUACUCACGUCAAUCCCCUCGAGUUCCUUUGCUCUUUCCUUUUGCUUUCUUACUCCCUUGAUUUCUGCGGAUAAAAAGAAAUCAGAAUUCGUUGUAUUAAUGCAUUCAUCAUCCUCUCAUGUAACUAUUAUAACAAACUCAGGAUGAAACUUUCCUACUGAAUCUCAACCACCAGCAUUAUUUUAAAAGAAAAUGAUCCAGUCAUACGUAGCCAACUUUCAGUUAAAACACUGUACAAAUUCCACUUUGUUAACAUUAAAAACAGGAUGCUAUUAGGUUCUUAAAACUGACUCUAAUAACAUAAAAAUAAGCACCCCGAACUUUUUUAGUUUCUUAAUUUUUUUUAUCUAACAAAUUUACUUAACUACUCUCUUAAAUAUCCCCUUAAAAUUAAGACUAAUAAAAAAAUUAUAAAAAAUAACUAUUUAUUUUUUGCAAGCCAAACUUAAUCUAAAUGCAAAACUGCUUAUUUUUAAAGUAACAAUUUAUGUACCUUAAGCUAGUUAAAGCACCUUAUCAACAUACUUUUUGUACAUAAUCUCAAACACCCUCUUAUAAUUCCUAAAAUCACCAAUCCCAGAAAACCAAUGAACUUGGACCCUGCAAAUUUAAUACCAUGAAAGACUGACCGGGAACAGGAACAGAAGCACAUCAAUGAUUAUAUUCGCAUACUUCUAGAUAAACAUUGUGUCCUCAUACACAACACCAACUCUCCACUAAAUAGCAAUCAAUGGCAAUACAGAACCUAGAAUCUAGAUGCUUUAAGAGUUCAGGGGAUAACACCAUAAGUUCCAAAAAGGAAGACGAGAUGAGUCCAGAGUUCUUCUUUUCCUUUCCCAUACCCAACCAAAUUACAAGUACAGAUGAUGCAUUUAGCCCUUUACAUAAACAUGACCUUCUCCCUUUACAUUUUGGACAAAAUAAGAAGGAACAUGAUACCUCCAGUCCGGAAAUUUACACGAAGUGAUGUUUUCCCUAGUACUAUGCAUGAAUUCAAAAGAUUGGAACUGUUAUGACAAAUUAACUAAACAAAUUGCCUAUUAGUCCUUCCAAGUCUGAGAUGGUUAAAUUGGGGAAUCAUAGCGAUACUGCAAGGUUGGCGAGGGUGCUGGGUUGUAAAGCUGUUAAGUUGUCAAUUAAGUACUUGGGUUACCACUGGGAGCUAAUUACAAAGAGAUAAGUGCUCGGGAUCUAGUGAUGAAUAGUUUUGAGAAGAAGUUGCUGAGACGGAAGAGGGUUCUUCUUUCUAAAGGUGGGAGAGUAACACCCACUUAAAGAACAUUGAAAUUUAUCCAUUUAUUACAUGUUUCUGUUCACUGUUCUAGCAAGUGUUGCCAAGAGAAUAGAAACCAUAUAAUGUAGAAUCUUAUGGAGGGAUUCAAAUGAAAGAAGAAGAUCUCAUUUAGUAGCAUAGGAGGAGAUCAAGAAGCCUAUCACUCACAGAGGAUUGGGGCUAAGGUCCCUAGUGGAUAUAAACUUGGCCCUACAAGGUAAAUGGUUGUGGGGGUUUAUGCAUGAAGAGCGUACAUGGUGGAUAAGGGUGAUAGAAGUCAAGUAUAGUGUAGAUGAGAAAGGUAGAUACACCAGAACUUGACAACACCAUACGGAAAGGCUUGUGGAAAAAGAUGUGCAUGGGUAGAGCCAGAUUUCAUACGGGUAUCAAUGGAAGGCUGGAAAGGGUGACCGAAUUAGUUUUUCGAAAGACCCACUUUUUUCUGAGAAAAAAAGUGUGAAGUAUAUAUUAAUAAGGUACCAAAAAAGCGGAGUUACUACCCAUGUACAAAAAAUUUACAAUAACGUCAGUGUAUCUAUGAUAUUCCCAAAAUUCUCAUUACUAAUAAUGUCAUAACUUAACAAAAUAAAUCUAAAAUAGUGAAUCCAUCUAUCUCUUAAUCUAUACAUAUUAAUCACUACACCUUUAAAAGCUUUAACAUUUCUCUCUUUUCAAAGAAUCUAAAAAACAAUAAAGGGAUUAAAUUUGCUAUAUUUUUUUUUACAUAUAAGUCAUCCCAAGCCCAAAUUGUCCCACCAACCGGACCAGCAAUUACCCAGUCAAAGACCCAUGGUUGAAAGGUGGAACCAUAAGAGAUUAAUAUCUGUAGAUUUUCACCAUAGCGUAACAGAAAGAUAUUCCGGUGAGUGAAUCUUCCAGAGAUAUGGGGGGAGCUAAGGAGUGGCAGGUAGAUGUACAGAGAAACCUCAAUGAUAGCAAGAUCAACAAAUAUGAGAACCUCCUAUUUAUCCUAUCUCCCAUUGUCCCGGACAGAAGGGACGAUCAACCCAUAUGAAGUCUUAGUAAAUUUGGAUCUUUUACAAUCAAAUCUCUUUAAAGCAUUCGACUAAGCAGGAGAAGGUAGCAAGUUUCCUUUUAGACAGAAAUAGAAGGCUAACGCUCCUCCCAGGGUGGAUUUCUUCAUAUGGGAAGCGAAUGGAUGUUACAUUCUGAUGAUUGAUAAAUUGAUGAAAAGUGAUACGAUUAUGACAAAUGGAUGUACUUGUAUAAAGGAGUUGCGGAGACUUGUAGCCAUUUCCUUUUAUGGUGUCCGAUGGCAUACAAGUUAUGGUCGAUGAUUUAUGGUUAAUUGAGUAUCAGCUGGGUGAUCACUCGGUCAGUCAAAGAUGAAAUUUGAGUGGGGAAGAGCAUAAUUUGUGGAGGAAAUGUAAUUGAUCUUAUUCCACUCAUCAUCUUUUGAGUGUUAUGGAAGAAGAGAAAUAGAAAAGCUUUGGGGGGGCGAGGGGGAUUGAGAAUGAGAGGGAUUUUGAUAUGAUUUGAAUAGAUGGUUCCAGACUCCUCGUUUUUUUUUUAUUUUGGACCAUCUUCUGUAUUCAAUAAAAAAUUUUGAGAAUCUUAUUAAAAUCUUGAUAGAUAGGUAAAUAUUUGCAUACGAGUUGGCACCACCUUGAUGCCUAUUAAUAUAAUUCAUACUUUUAUUUUAAAAAGAAAUGUUUGUUAAAGAACUUUAACAAAACAUCUUGUUCUACAUUUAAAAAAAAUCCAAAACAAAACCAAAACAUCCUGCGAUUUGAAUAUGAUUAACCAAGUCAUUUCCAGCAUGCCAAGAAAUCCAAUAUGAAUGCCAAGCACAUACUUUGGCUAAUUCUUUCCAAAAGAUCAGUUCAAUUAUAGGAUAUAUUAGAGAUAGAGAUUAGUUUCAUUCCUUUUCCCUUUCUCUUGCACCUAUCCCUACCGCCCUACAAAUGCACAGAUUGGGGCUUAUUCAGUUUUCCAGGUUUUAGGUUAUUUCUAGUUUAGGUCAUUUGGGUUUCAAGUAACUUUCAGCAGAUUUUUUUGAAUAAAUCGAAUCAGAUUUACAAGGCCAGGUAAGAUUUUGCCAUCUCUAAGCGCAUCACAUAUACUGGACUCUAUCGUACCUCCACACAACAGCAAUCAGCAUAUUACAGAGCAAAAAUAAAAAAGCAUACAGCACACUUACUAUUGCGAGCCUAUAACCAGAGCUACCAACCAGUGGCAAACUUUACCUUUUUCGGAAGGAUUUGCAGACAGUCCUUCUCUAGCAAGAAUCUCUUCAAGUUCCUUUAUCAAGUGGGUCUCCCGUUUGUUAUCAGGAACCUGCUUUACUUUCCGGUAAAUAGAAGGGGGAACACUGCAUAUGAAAUAAGCAAAAGUAAGGAAUCCACCAGAAAAAGAUCUGGAUUAAUAAACAAACGAGUUGAAUUAAAACCUCAUCCCACAUGCUUUGAUAACUGAUUUUAGAUGCUCUACUUGUUUUCCAUAUGCCGGAGUCAAUACUUCUUUUUUCUGCAUAAUAGUAAAAUUGAGUUAAAGGAUACUGACUAAAUUAGAACUUUACCUUUGCACAGAUUUUUAACAAAUGAAAACGGCAAACCUUCAUAGGCUUCUCAGCAGAUGAUUGAGGCUGGCUAUCAUCGGAGAUAAUUUCACUGUCUUCUGCAUUAAUAUCAUCCACUGAAUUCUUUUGUGAAGGCUUCAUCCUCUUCUUGGCAGACGCUUUUGUAUUACUUUCAGGUAUACUCCGUUUUUUAAGCCGCUCUGGUUUCUGCAUUUUUGUUUUUGGAACAAUUUUCUUUUUGGAUUUCACCUUAUGUUCUUCCUCAUCAGUCUCACCUUCUAAUGAAUCAGAACUUCCCUCAGAUGCUUUACUUUUGGAAUUCUUCUUAAGAUUUUUCUCCCCAACCCUAGAUAGAGGUUUUGGAGCUUCAUGAGAUUGUAAUACCUGAUCAAUUCCGAAGGUAACUGAAGAAUGAUAAUUCUGUAUUUUUUUAUUGCCUUUGAUAAUGAUACAAGAAUUAUAUUUACAAUACAAUAGUUACCAUAUUUUCACAAAAAAAUCCUCAUAAUUAGUGAGAGGAUUUUCCAGAACAAAUGACAAAUCAAAUCAAAGAGGUUUGAUAAGAAUCCUCCUAAUAAGUGAGAGGAUUUUCCAGAACUAAAGGCAGACCAAAUCAAAGAGGUUUGGUCAACCUUUGUGCUAUAUCUUCUAAAUUAGGAAGUAAACAUUUCUGAUAUAACAACUACAAUUACUCGAUUUUUAACACUCCCCUUCAAGUUAGGCAGUAAAUAUCAUGUAAGCCUAGCUUGGACCUCAUAUCUUCAAAAUUUGUCUUUGCUAGCAUCUUAGUCCAAAUAUCUUCUCUUUGUUGAAUAGUGAAAACAUAGGAGAUGUUAAUUAUUCCCCCUUCUAAAUUCUCCUUGAUAAAGUAUCCAUCUAUUUCCACAUGUUUCGUCCUAUCAUGACGAACAGAAUUCUUAGCUAUACUUAAAGCAACUUGGCUCUCGCACAUCAUAUUGAUAGUACCAAUUACUUGAAUGUUAAGUUCACUGAGUAAGCAUUUUAACCGCAUUCCUUCACGCAUCACAUUGGUCAUAGCUCUGAACUCUGCUUCCGCUAACCCCAAGCAACCAUUUUCUGUUUUUUGCUUUGCCAGAUAACAAAAUUUCCCCACACAUAAAUACAAUAUCCUAAAGUGGAUCUUCAAUCAAUACUAGAUCUUACCAAAUAUGCAUCAAUAAACACUUCGAUAUUCUUGUUUAGUCUUAUAUGAAGUGAAGCCCUCCAAGAGUUUUCUUCAACUACCUUAAAAUAUGAUAUAGUCGAUUCAUGUAUUCUUUAAUAGGAUUAUUCAUGAACUACCAGCCAAACUAAAAGUAAAGCCAAUAUCUGGUCGUGUGUGUAAGAGGUAGAUGACUAGUCGAUUCAUUGUUUUCUUCUUCAUUUUUCCUUGGGUGAUUGCUUCUAUUGGGGUAUUUGCAGGCUUACAACCCAAAAUUCCUAUUUCUUUGAGUAAAUAAAAGGCAUACUUUCUUUGUGAAACCACCUUCCUAAUUGAGACCUUAUAAUUUCCAUUCCAAAGAAAAUUUUAGAUUUCCUAGGUCUUUGACUUCAAAUUCAUGAGUUAAAACUUUUUUAAGUUCUAUAAUCUCCUCUUCAUGGUUUCCUGUUAAGAUAAAAUCAUCUACAUAAACAAUUAUGAUAGCUAUCCUUCAACUAGGAGAAUGUUUAACAAAUAGGGUACAAUCUGACUAACAUUGGACAUAUCCAAUUUCUUACAGUCUUAGAAAAUCUCUUAAACCAAGCUAUGGGCAAUUGCUUGAGCAUAGAGAGAUUAUUUCGCUUACAAACCUUGUUUGAGUUAAUAUUGAUCUUUGAGACCUUCAAGGAUCUCCAUGCACACUUCUUUUCUCACUCUCCAUUGAAAAAGACUUUCUCGAUGUCUAACUGAUGAAGCUUCCAAUCAGAAUUGUUGCCAAUAACGAGAGAACUCAAAUGUUGUUAAGUUUUGCAACGAGUAUAAAAGUCUCCUAGUAGUCAAUACCACAGGCUUGAGUAAAGACUUUAGCAAUGAAACAAGUCUUGAAUCUGCCUAUAUAUUUUUUAAAAAAAAUAAAAGCAUGUAUACUACGUAUGUAACACCAAUGGAGUAUCACUCCUAUAUAAAAUUAUUUACAAAUCGGUUAGAACAUUUAAAACUUUUCCAAAAUCAUUCCACCCAUACAAAUCAUGACCCAGAAUUAGAGAUCCAAAAAAGUGAAGCCAUCUAUCUCUAAUUCUUCCAAUAUCUCUCACACACCAAUUGAAUGCUCUAUUGUUUCUCUCUUUCCAAAUAACCCAAAAGAUAGACAAAUGAAUCAAUUUAGAAAACUUAUAUCUAAUCUCCAUCCCGUCCUAAACCCACAAUUCAUUUUUUACCGAACUCCCAAUCACCCAAUUUACACCCAGUAAGCUAUACACCAUAUGCCAUAGACUAUAUGUCACCGAACACUACAGAAGAAGAUGGUUGCAUGAUCAACAGUUUCCAAAUAAAGGUAGCACCCAUUCGCCAUAAUAUGUCCCCUCCUCAUCAACUUGUCAAUAGUAAGGAUGCACUCCUGUUCAGCUUCCCAAGCAAAAAAAAGCAAUACUCGAAGGUGCAUUAGCCUUCCAAAUUUGUUUGUCAAGAAAAUUCAGUUUAUUAUCUUCUUUGGACGUCAAGUAAUCAUAAAAUAAUUUCACAGUAAAAGCGUCAUCUUUCCUGAAUUUCCAAGUAGCUUUAUCAUUACAUGUAUCUAAAUGGACAUCCAUAAGAACUUGAAGAAUCCUUGUAUAUUCGUCAAUCUCCCAGUCAUUCAGAUUUCUAACCAAAUCGAUAUCUCACCCGCUUCUCCCAUCCCUACCCCUAAACACCUCCUCCACCACCACAUUAUUCCUCAACACUAAAUUAUAAACUCUUGGAAAUAGAUUUUUCAGGCUGCCCCUUCCCAACCGCUCAUCCUCCCAAAUAUUAAUAAUGUUGCCCCUCCUAAUCUUCCACUUAAUACCCUCAAAGAACUUCUCCCUCCCCAAACAAAUACCCUUCCAAAGACCCAUCCCAUGAGGCCUAGCUAACCUCCUAUCACUCUCUCUUCCCACCAUGUCCCCCCACCUCGCCCCAAUGACCCUAAACCACAACAACCCCUCCUCCGUAUGGUAUCUCCAUAACCACUUCCCCAACAAAGCUUUGUUUAAAUCCACCAAAGACCGAAGCCCCAAGCCCCCCUUCCCCUUAGCCCUCUUCACAUCAUCCCACCGACGCAAAUGAUAUUUUCUGUUACUGUCAUCAUCCUCCAAAAAAAAGCUACAUUGAAUACUCUCUAAUUUCUUAGUAAUUUUGACCAGGAUAGUCAACACUGACAAGUAAUAAAUAGGGAGAUUCACAGAAGUACUUUUAAUCAAAGUCAGUCGCCCCCUUUAGAAAGGAAAUGUUUUUUCUAUCCCGUGAAUCUGCCUAUGUUAACAACUGCAUUGUGUUUAAUAGUGAAGAUCCACUUGCAUCCCAGAGGUUUUUUUUCCAAAGGUUAAUGAACAAGGCCCAUGAACUAUUUCUCUCAAUUGUCUUGAGUUCUUCAAUAACAGCUUACUUCCACUCAUGAUCUUGCAUGGCUUCUUGAAUGCUAUUAGGAAUUUGAAUUUCCAUGAAUUUAGUAGAAAAAGCAUGAUAUUCAAGUGAUAAUUUCUUAUAUGACAUUAAGUUGUAAAUAGGAUGAUGAAUACGAGAUUUGACUCUUUUCCUUUAAGUAAUUGGUAAAUCGAGAUCUUGUAAUGUCAACUUGUCAGAAGUUUUACCCGAUUGUCUCUUCCCAAAAUGGCUCAUGUCCAGCUUCAUGACUAGCUCUUUCGUGCAUUUGUUCCUGCGUAAGUGUCUGGCUUUUCUGUCUUCUUGAGUAUAUUAAGAGUUCUUCUCAUUGUUUGGAGAAAUACUCUGAAAGGGACCUUUCGAACUAGAACUGAUGUUUGGGGAAACAAUAGACUUAGGAGGAUUUGACUCAACAAAUUUGGGAUCUUGUAUUUGGGUGUUGCUCCCAAAUUUCCAAAAAAAAAAAAAUUUCUUUCGUAUUUCCAUUAUCCCCCUUAACAUCAUUCUUAGAAUAAAAUGGUUCAUUUUUAAAAAAUGUAAUAUCUAUAAAGUGAUAGAAUUUCUGGGUAACCAGAGAAUAACAUUUAUAUUCUUUUCGAUUUGGCGUAUAUCCAAUGAAGAUACAUUUUAUGGCUUGGAGAUCAAAUUUGCUUCUAAAUUGUUGAGAAACACAAACAAAUUAUCAACACUUGAAGACCUUUGGAAGAAUUGAUGAGACAAGUCAUGUUGAUGGAUAGGCACUUUUGAAGACUUGACAAGGUGAAUGGAAUUGUGGGACAUGGGAAGAUAUCCAGUUGACUAAGUAAGCUGUAGUGAGAAUGGCAUCCCCCGUAAAAUUUUUGGAACAUGAGACUAAAUCAUGAUAGCUCAUGUAAUUCCUAAUACAAGUCUCUUUCUUUUCAGCUAUUCUAUGUUGUUGAAGAGCGUCAAUGCAUGAAUUUUUGUGGAUAAUUCCCUCUUCGAUCAAAUAUUUCCAAGGAUAAAACUGAAAUAAUCUUUGGCAUUAUCUGUGUGGAGGAUUUGGAUUUUUCUGUUGAAUUGAGUUUGCACUAUUUUAUUGAGAACUUGAACAAUUUACAACCUUGGAUUUUUCCUUCAUUAGAAAUCCCCAAGUAAAGUGUGAGUUGUCAUCUAUGAACAUUAUGAACCAUCUUAUUCCAGUCAAACCUUGACUUUGUAUGGUCCCUAAACAUCAAUAUGAAUUGCUUAAAUGAGAUUUGAUUCUUUAUAUUAUUGGAUAGGAUAGGUAUUUCGGACAUAUUUGGAUAAUUGACAGGAUUCUGACUAAAAUUCAAUAAAGUUAUGAUUAAACAACUAAUGAGAGAGUUUGUUGAGAUACAGAAUAUUUGAAUGACCUAAACGAUGAUUUCAUAAUAUUAUUUCACUAUUUUUAUUCUUGAUGGCAAAGAAACAUUGUUUUCUUUCCGCAAAAAAAUUCUCAUGAGGUUCAGUUGUUUUGAGCAUGUAGAGUCCCAAAUUCGACAUUGUUAAUCAUCUAUCCCAAAGUCAAAUCCUGAAAGAUACAACAUUUAGAGGUGAAUAUAGCGACAAUUUUUUUUCCCUUGUAAGUUGACUAACUGAUAGAAGAUUGCAGUUCAGAUUUUGCACAAAUAGAACUCAAUUGAGGGUGGUUUUCUAAUAGAACCAUAAACCUUCCACCAAUCACUUUUGAGACCAAUCUAUCAGCUAUAUUGACAUUGUCUUCUUUCCAUUAAAAAAUUAUCAUGAGGUUCGGUUGUUUUGAGCAUGUAAAGUUCCAAAUUAAACACUGUUAAUCAUCCAUCCCGAAGUUAAAUCCUGAAAGAUACAACAUUUAGAGGUGAAUAUAGUGACUCAGUUUUUUUCCCUUGUAAGUUGACUAACUGACAAAAAUUGCAGUCUAGAUUUUGAACAAAUAAAACUGAAUUGAGGGUCAGGUUUUCUAAUAUAACCAUAGAUCUUCUACCAAUCACUUUUGAGACCAAUCUAUCAGCUAUAUCGACAAUAAAAUUUUCAUGAAAAGUAGCGACAUUUCGAGUAAAAUAUACAUCACCAGUCAUAUAAUCAGAGGCUCCAUAAUCGACUAUCCACAAAUUUUUCUUGUCCACCCUAUAAGUUUUGAGAAUUAUUGAAAAAAUACCUUUGUGCCUCACAUUUGCUAUUCCUGAAGGGCUGGAAUUUGGAGUAAAAAAAGUCGGUCGUGCAUCAACAAGCAGCUUUUGAAUGAUUUCCAACUGCUCCUAGUCAAAUUGGUUUGAUUGUUCCUUGGUUGUAGUAUAAUUUGCACAUCCCUCCCUCUUGGUUUUUGGCUUCCAUAUCAUGUGGUUUUCCAUGAAUAUUCCAGUAGGUGUUACGGGUGUGUCCAAGUUUCUUAUAAUGCUUGCACCAUGGCCUUUCCUUAUUGGUGUGCUUGUCCUUAGUUCUUUGUGAUGCAAAAUCGUUAUUAUUAAUGGACUAGUUCCCAGGCCCCAUCAUUCCCUUUCUCCUGCUUUCUUCCUAUCAGACUGCAGCUAGUACCUCUUGCAGAUUAGGAGGAGGUUUGAUUGUUAGGAUUCGACCACAAACUUCAUCAAGGUUUUUUUCGAUCCUAACAGAAACUCAUAAAUUCAUUUCUUCUCAACAAUUUUAUUAUACUUGGCUGCAUCGGUUGGCCAGUCCCGUUGAGUAGUUUCAUACACAUCUAAUUGCUGCCAAUACCUACACAGAUGGUUGAAAUAUUGGUGGCUGAGAGGUUCUCUUGAAGGAGGUCAUUGAGGAUACCUUCCAUCUCAAAAGCUUCCAUUGUAUCUUCCUUAUCUGAGUAGGUUUCACGCGCAAAUCCCAGAUUUCCUUGUGCUGUUUCAUAGAGAAUAAUUCUCUCCAACAUCAUUCCUCAUGAAAUUUAUAAGCCAUAACAUGACUAUGUUACUUUCAGUUCUCCACAUCUUGUAGAGUGGAUCUUCAGAUUUUGGUUUAGUGAAUGCACUUGUAAUGUAGUCAUCUUUUCCUCGACCACAAAUGAACAUCAUAACUGAAUGCAACCAAUGAAGAUGGUUAUGGUCAUUCAAUUUGUGUCCAGUAAUGAUAAAGGCACUGGACUCAAAUCCUCCAUUAGAGUUAGUAACAGAUUGAGAUGAAAUAGUAGAGACGAUUGAGGCUAUUGAACAAGGAGGAAAAAGUUUCUCGUUUUAGAGAAUUGCUCUAAUACCAUGAAGAAUGAAAAUUUUGUGUUUUUCAUGGUUUUUUAUAAUAAUACAAGAAUUGUAUUUAUAAAACAAAAAUUACCAUAUUUACACAAAAAAAUCUUCCUAAUUAGUGAAAGGAUUUUCCAGAGUAAAUGACAAGUCAAAUCAAAGAGAUGGUCAAUCUUGGUGUCAUAUCUUCUAAUUAGGAAGUAAAUAUUUAUGAUAUAGAAACUAUAAUUACUUGAUUUUCAACAGCAUGAAAAGAAAUUAGAUUGACUGAAUUUUUAGCUUAAGUACGGCCUCAUGACCAAGUUAAAGUUACCUCAUCUAUCUGCUCAGUUAUGAAACUCUUGUAUGGAUCAAGAGUAUAUUUAUCAAGUUUAAGAUCUUCCUCCAAAACUCGUCGAACUCCAGUCAUUGUAAGGUUUCUGAAAUAAAAGUGAGUGAGAUUAUUACGUGUUUAUAUUUUUAUUAUCAACCAAUCGAAAAAUGAAAACCUACAUGUAACAGAUUUCCUAGGAAUAGGACAAAUAUGUAUAUACUACCUGUAACAAAUUUGCUAGGAAUAGAACAAGUAUGUAUAUAGAAAAUGAUAAUUUAACUAGCAGUAUUUUAAUCCAACGAAACAAAUGGCAAUUUAAUUACUUUUCCAUUUAUCUCCUGACUAAUUAUUACCUCUAACUGAAAAUAAAUCAUGUUGUAAUUAUGCAUAGUAAUAUUAAUAUAAAAAUUGGAAUUUGGAAUUAAAUAAGAAAAAAGUAAGCAGGACCUGAGUUAGAUAACCAAUUCAAAGAAUCAACUUACUCUGAAUUUUUUUUUAUAUAAGAAACUCUUUUCCUGAUGGCUUCCUUUAUUGUGGUCUCAGGAACUUCUUUGUUUUCUUCGUGUUGACUUUCUUUAUGUUUGGAAUCCUUAAGAUUUUUCUCCCCAACCUCAGCCAGAGGUUCUGAAGCCAAAUGAGUUUGUAUUGCCUAAUCAAAUUCCAGCAGUAACCAUAAGAAUUAGAUUGUCUGAUACUUCUGUAGUUUAAGUACUGCCUCCUGAAAUUAAACUCACUUCAUCUAAUUGCUCAUGUAUGAAUUUGUCAUAUGAGUCAAGAGCAUGCUUAUCAAGUUUAAGAUCUUCCUCCAAAACUUGAUGGACUUCAGUCAUUGUAAGUUCCCUGAAAUAAGCAAGUGAAUAUUAUUAUUAUCUAUUUAACUCUACCUGAAUAAGAGUUAAUUUCCCUUUACAUCGAAGACCAAUAGAAAAAUGAAACCGAUGCAUAACUGAAUUAUUAGGAUAAAAACAAAUGUUUACAUGUAAAAUUAUGAUUAAAUAUAGCAGGACCUUAAUCCAACAAUACUAAAUUAAAUAACCAAUUCAAACUUACUCGGCCUUUUUCAGAAAAUAGGGAGCUCUCUUCGUGAUGGCUUCUUUUAUUGCGCUCUCAGAGACUCCUUUACUUUCCUUACUAUGAGUUUCUUUACUUUUGGAAUUCUUCUUAAGAUUUUUCUCUCCAACCCCAGUUAGAGGUUCCAAAGUUACAUUUGCUUGUAUCGCCUAAUCAAUUGCAGAGGUAAGCAAAAGAAACUCCAUUGCCUUAUACUUUGGUUUAUGUAGUACCUCAAGGACAAACUAAACUCACCUCAUCUACCUGGCUGCGUAUGAAAUCACCAUAUGGAUCAAGAGUAUGCCUAUCAAGUGUAAGAUCUUCCUCCAAAAUUCGACGAAGUCCAGUCAUUGUAAGUUCCCUGAAAUAAAGCAAGUAAUGCUAUUAUAUGUUAAAUCCCCUGAAUAACUGGUAAUUGUCUUUACAUCCAAGAUCAGUACAGGAAACAUAUAUUUAUGUAGAAAAUGAUGACUAAUGAAGCAGGAUCAUUAUCCAAGGAUCCAAGUUAAAUAACCAAAUCAAAGAAUGAAAGCACAUAGAAUUAAUAGAUAGGAAACUCUUUUCUUGAAGACUUCCUUUAUGGUGCUCUCAAUGACUUUUAUUUUCCUCACCUUCGAAUUUCUUUACUUUUGGAAUUUUUCUUAAGAUUUUCCUCACCCCAACCCCCCAACCGGCCAUCCCAUUAGAGGUUCUGAAGUUAAAUGUGCUUGUAUUCCCCAAUAAUUCCAAAGGUAAUCAAAGAAUUUUUUAUUGCCUGACACUUUAGUUUAAGUACCGUGUCCUGGAUAAAUUAAACUCGCAUUGUCUACAAAAUAUAUGUUAUGUCUGGAAGCAACAAUCAAUAAUACCAAUCUGGUAUACCAGCCCCGGGACCCAUGUGAAACACAAUGCAGAGGCAGAAAAUGCACCACCAGAGUCUGAGUUGACUCCAGCCUCUACUUAGGAUUCUCCUUAGUACUCUAUCUUAGUUAGAUGUAGCCCAAGGAAUUCACCAGGAAUCAUAUGUAUUAGUACUUUAAUUUAACAUUACUUCCAAGUCUUAAGGUAGGGAAUAUUUGGACUUAGACAUGAAAACAUCUCUUGAAUCUAGGUGUAGGAGCAAGCAGUCCCUAUAAAUAUUCGCUGCAACAAUGAUUCUCUUCGAUAACCCCUAAACCAUAGACCAUUGAUGCCAUAAUCCAACAAGCAAGUUUUGCGCAUGUUUCCAGUCAGUUGAUCAUUGCACAAUCCAGACUUGGGAUAAUAACAAAGUGUUUAAAAGCAAGACUUCAUGAGUGAUAUGCUGACUUUCCAUGCAACAGUUUAUCAAGAAGAGCACACCAACAGCAGGAGAAAAAGGAAGCAUGAUAGGCCACGAUUUCAAGAACAGCAAGGAGAGCACAUAAUGCAACUAUCAGAGUCUUUAUUGAAAAUUCUCACAGGCCAAGCUAGACAAUAGCAGCACAAUGGAGGGAAGCAGCAACGAGCAUCGCUAAAAACAGCCCCUGGGUGCAGGUAAUAGCAUGGACAGGGAGGCACGAUCCCUUGAUUUGCUAAGUUGGACUUCUCUCACUUUGAUGGAGUCCCCUUGGAUGGCUGAAUUACUGCAAGCAUACACAUAGCUGAAGAAGAUAAGUACCUCAUCACCUGGCAAGCUGAAAGUUCCAGGGAGGCUAAAAAUCAUGCAGCCAUGGAGGAAUAAAGACAAAGAGGUUUGUGUCUUAACUAUGCUGAGCCUCUUUUACCCUGUUGCGGUUGUAAAAAAUUAGUCUGCUACAACUUAUGGAGAUAUAAAAAUGAAUCAUCAGAGCUGAAAAUCCAGAUUCACGCCAUUACCAAGGCACCUACACCUCAAAAUGAAGGUCAAAGCCUUAGAUUAUGACAUGCCCUUACUUGUUCUCACUGAUUUUGGUAGAGCUUGGUUUAUGUAUGAAGAAUUUCUUUCUGAUCUGUGAAUUAUGGUGGAGUACCUAGAGGGCUUCGAAGUAGUGAUGACAAACAAAGAGAAUUUGCAGACUGGGAGUGUGCAGGCAAAUACCUCUGCCGCUAGGUACAAUUUGUUUCUGCCUGGAUUUAUUCAUCCUUCGAUUGAACAGUUUCGAGGAUGUGCUUGGAUUUAAUUGGCUAUAAACAUAGGGUCUGACAAGCUGAAACUUUGCAUCUUGAAGAUGUCCUUCUUAUAUCCUGUUCUUGUUAUAACAUUGCAAGGUACCCAGAUUCUAAUCUCAUCACUCCUCGCUUCUCAAUGGUUGCAAUAGAAACAAGCAUGCAAUUGGAGCUACAGUGGGUCCUUGUUGCCUCGACUCAAUUUUUUAGCCUCCAUCUAGAUUUCCACCCAAUCACAAUGAUGAGCACCAAGUAACACUAUAGGAGGUUUUAAAACCCAAUUGUUGCCCAUCCAUAUCGCUAUCCUCAUUAUCAAAAAGAUGAGAUUCAGCAAUGUAAUGAUAUGCUACAACAAGUCAUUAUUUGGCCAAGCCAAUCACCCUCGUCAAAGAAGUAGAUGCCUUAUGGAAAUUUUGUGUGGACUGCCGAGCCUCAAACAAUGAGGAGGUUAAAGACAAGCUCCCUCCAGAGCCUUCAACAAUGAGGAUACUGUUUUUGGGAAUUGAGACUAAUAAAAACAUUUUAGUAGUCGAGAGGAAGCCCUUUAAGGAUCCUCAAAACCAUGUCAUUUUUGGUAGACCAAUGCCUAAUGGAUGCCAUAGAUCCACAUAAUAUAUUUAGUUUGAUGUACUGCAAAUUCAAACUAAAGUAAUAAGAGUCAAGAAUGCACGGAUCCUGGAGAAGUUGUUCAAUUGUGGUCUGCACUUCACAAGCAAUAAGAGAUAUUGGGAUCGAGCAAACAACAAAGAAUUUUAGAUGAGACUGUGGCUUGGACCCAGGAAAAGACAAGGGCAUUGCUUUGCUUGCACACAACAGAUUCUAGGUCGGCAAUGUCUUUGUCAUACUCGGAAAUAGUAGAAGGGUAAGAGCCAAUUCCAUCAAUGUGAGAGACAAACCCAUAUUCCUAGAAUAUCAUAAGAAAGAGAAACUUCUAAACCAGAUAAUUCAUGGAGUCUAGAGCUUCUUUAACAUAGUAAUGGAUGUUGGAGAUGCUAAAGCGAGGAUCAUAGAGACAAAUGGCAAAGCUCAAACAAAAGAAAAUGUUGCUAAGUUGAAGAAGAGAUCAAGUAUUGUUAACAGUAAAUACAGAGACAAAGAGAACAGGAGGGAAAAAAUGCAAAACAUGGAGGAAAAAUCAAUAUGGCUCUCAUACAAUCUUCAAUUUAUAAAUUACUACUUUCAGUCUAACCAGUAUGGUACGUAUAGCAUAUGUACAAGUUGUAGAAUCCUACUAUUACAAGAGAGUUUUGAUAACACAAGAAUACAAAAAAACAUAAUAUUAUCUUGCCAUUAAAUAACAAGGUUAUCAGUAUAGUUAUUCCUUUAAAGAACAACUAGUCAUCCUUUACGUCAAAGACCAAUUCAGAAAUGAAAACCUAAACAUAAAAGAAUUGCUCGGUUUAAAUACAAUAUUCUAUGUACAAAUAACGAUCAAAAUAGCAGUAUUUUAGUAAUAAUACUGAGUUAAAUAACUAACUCACAAAAUUAACAUACUUGGAAUUUGUUAAUAUAUAGGAAACUCUUUUCUUGAUGGCUUCCUUUAUCAUGCUCUCAGAGACAUCUUUAUCUUCCUUAUGUUGUGUUUCUUUUGUUUCAGACUUAGGUGCUUUAUGUGCUGUAAGAAGACCCAUCACAGGAGAGCCCUCCAUUUUCCCUUCAUCUUCAGGGGAAGCUUCCUUCACGUCUUUCUGGGACUUGAUUCCUUGAGGUGAGUCUGAUACCUUUGCAGUUGAACCAGUGUCUUUUUUUCCAGCCUUUCCAGAAUCCUCGGACAUAUUAUCACCAACACCUUCUAAAGACUACCAUGAAAAAUGAAGCAGGUUUUUUUCACAAAUUUGAAUUCAACAAACAGAACAGCAUAAUUUGCUUGAUCAUGUAGCGGGUCUUUGACAAAUCACAUUAAAAUAAAGAUGCUCAUUUUUCUUGGUUUAUGCACAUUACUUUUCAUUGAUUAUGGGCAUGGCAUAACUUGCUCCUUAUUUUCUGAUUGCAUCCAGUACAAUUUAUAAAUUACUUCCAUGUUACAGCUUACUUAAUUUUACCAACAAAUUCUGCUCCAACUGUUUAAUUAUCAAAAUAUUUUGCCACAAAGAAUCAUAUGCAAACUUCCCCAAAUCAGUAUAUAUCCCAGCAAGCUUUUCCAGAUCCAUUGUGUGAUUCAAGGCAAUGCUAAAGUUAAUACAAGACAAAGUGCAGAAUCCUGCCUUGACAUCACAAUUGAAAGCCACUCCAUAGCAUAGCACCAAAGAAGCUGCAAGAGCUUCAAAUCUUAGAUGCAGCAUACCUCUGUGCAUUUGCAUAUACUGUCAGUUCAAAAUCAAAUUUACCACUCUAGUACGCCCAGUUACCCAUUUCCACCUAAAUAUAACAAUGUUAAUUUAUUUACGUUUAAUAGAAAGAAUGAUACCGCAAAAAUACUAAUAGAAUCAUAUUGCUGAAAGCAUGACUCGCUCAAAAAAAUGCAGGAGAAAAAAAAAAUUCAGAUCAGUAAACCUACCACUGCAAGACAUUCCCUGACAAAACUCUUAUACGCAUCCAACGCAUAUUUAGCCAACCCCAAGUCCUCCUCUAACAAUCUCCUAACACCCUCAAAGGUAAUAAAACUGCACAAGGAACAAGGGAAGCGGAGAAAGAAAAAGAGUAUCAUAACCAUUCUGCUACUGCAAGGCACUCCAUUAAUAUUAAAUAAACUAUUUAAUAAAAGUAAAGAAAAUAGUUUGAAGUAAACCUUUGGUUCAACAUAAUUAGGAAAUAAAAAGUUCAUCGAGAAUUAUCUCAAAGAAAAAAGUUCAACGAGAAAACCAAACUACCAAUAACACACUUCUUUUAAGGUCUUUUAUGCACCAAGAGUUUCAAAAUUCUAAAAAGUAUUUUUGCACACGUCAUAAAUCCUGUUAUGCAGACAACAUGAAAGAAUCAGCACAUAAGUUCUCAAUCCACUAAUAACACAACCAGCCACUGUUUCACAUUCUGAGCUGUGUCAUAUUUUUUAGUUUUUAUUUUGGAGAAAAGAAAUUUAUAAACAAGGCACCAAGUGGUUGCCACCAGUUUAGAAAAUAAUGCCGUACUUUUAAAUUAUCACCAUCUCAUUUGUGCCUUCCACCUUCACGGCACUCCACUUAAGAACAUUCCAGUUGCUGACAACCAACAAAGAGUGACCUCUCUGUUAGGCAUCAGACGAGAUCCAUGUUUCAUAUGUAUACGAUUUAUAAAUUUAGACUUGGCUUUUACGAUAAUUUUGGCAAACAUUCUUACAGAGAUGCAGUUUUGCAGCGAUGAUUUUUCUUUAAAAAAGAAAGUAGCAAGAUAAUCCAGGGAUGAAUAAAAUACAUUCUUUUAAUGUAUUUCUCACUCAGCCACUGUGCUGCAGAGAGCCGCUAAUAUAGACCAAAUUUUUCCAUGGUUUUUGAAUUCCUUCCUCCAGUAAAUGUUUCUAUAUUUGAAGAAGAUAUCAAAUUCCCUUCAACAAAUCCAUGGAAAUAAUCCACUGCCUUUCUAAAAACCCGAUUAGAUUAGUAGAACAAAAUAAUUCUAAAGAAGAACACCAUCAACUAUUUCAAAUAACAAAAAAAGGUCAAAUCGAAACCAAAUCCCCCUAAGUAAAAAAGAACACUACAAAAACCAUAAAUCCUACAACCUGCUAGUAAAAUCUCGGAGAACAAAGUCAUCUUACCAAUUGACCGCUGCAUAUACGCAGACCUAAAUACAAACACAUUAACACGUACAAAAAUAUCCGUAGAGUGAGAGAGAGAGAGAAAGAAAGUACUCUGAUUGCUGCAAUAAGUAAGAAACACGAGCGCGCGUAGCGGCCACAAUUCGGGACUGUAAAUCCUUCGUCCAUGUUUCCUCCGUGCCUUGCCCGUGGUCGACUCUAUCCUGAGCUGGUUCCUUUGUGUCUACUUCUGUGGCACCGUUGCCGAGCGCAUCUUCGGCCAUUGUCGGGAGGUUUCCUGCACCCGCAACGACAGGGAAGGAAGAGAGCGAAAAUAGUCUGUGUGGGUUGCUUUGAUCUUUGUCCUGUUAAACCUUGACUGGGGGUGCAACAUUUAAGAGGAAAUGUUAGCGUGCGAAUGGCGCAGUGUACCUGCCUGGUGAUCUCUCCGAUGUGUGAGAUCAGAACCGUCCAUCUUCAUAGAGCCUCCAGUUUCGGCCACGUCUGUACACACUGAAAAAUCCUAGCCGUUCAUGAGCGCAGUUUAUCGUCACGAAAUAUACGUUAGUGGCGCAGGUACUUAAAAUCAAUUUCAGUGACGGAUAGAAUCUUAAAGAAACGUGGCAAAUUCCGCUGGUAAUUUAUAAAUUUUUAAAUAUCACAAUAUUUUAUUAUACUCUAAAUGACUCAAAUUCAACUCCGCAUUCACCUUAGAAAAUUAUUAAAUUUAGUUUAAAUUUUAAUAAUUUAAAUAAUAUAGACUUUUAAAUAAAUAUAUAUUUUUAUUUUAAAUAAAUUUUAUGUAUGAUUCAAACUUGAGGAUGUUUUGUGGUUUUUUACCUUAUAAAAUAUAAGUUGAUAUUGAUAAAUUUUAAAUAUAUCAAACAGUUAAUCUUAAAUUUAUAAGGUAUUAAAUACAUUUUGGUGCACAUAUUUAAUAAUUUUAUUUUAAAUAAUAAAUAUAUAUAGUAUUAACUUAAUUAUGUAUAACGUAAUAUUUGAAUAGUAUUAUUUUUAAUUAAACAAUGAAGAUGUAGAAAAAUAUAUUUCAUUAACACACGAUUUAACAAAUUAAAUUAUUUUAUCAAAAUGUUGUAUUUAUUAAUUAUAUUCAAAAUUUUAAAAUAUGUAUUUUAUUUGCAUUCAUUUAUUUUUUAUAAAUAUGUAAUGUUAAGUAUAUUAUUCAUUUAUCUUAAUUAUUAUUUUUUGCACAUAAUAUCCUACGCGAAAACAAAUAUAAGAUCAUAAUUUUUUUAUUAACUUCUAAGACUGAAUGAAUAAAUAUGUUAUGCAUAUAGCAUUUAAAAAAAAAAAAAAGGAACAGGCUCCCCCUCUUUUUCAAAGGAGGGUAUGUUAUAUUAACGGGGGAAAGAGAAGGGAAAAGGAAGGUCGGAUUUUUUGAAGUACAUAGAGUAUGUGUUUAAGUAAAAAGUCAACAGGAUAUUUUAUAAUAAUAAAUUUCAUAUUUAUGAAGGAGAUGGGUAUGAAUAUUUUCUUCUUAUAGAAUAAGCUUUUAUUUUUAAAUUUUUAUUAAUGCACUACUCACAAAAAUAUGAUUCAAUUAAAAUUUUUAUAUUUAAAGUGACUGAGUAAAUAACAUUAUUAAUUAUAAAAUAUAUUAUAAUAUAUAGAAAUUAAAAAUGUAACGUAACAUUGUAAAUAUUAUUUAUACUUGAGACUUGUUUGAAGAAUGUCGAGUUUGUGUUAUUAUAGAAUAUUGUAUCCCAGAGUAAUAAUACUGAUAAUUUCACUAACAAUUUUAAUAUUUGACAUUAUGUCAACUCAAAAAUAAUAAUUUGUUAAAUAAAAUUUAAAUUAUUUAACAAAAUAUCUUAAUAUCGAAGUUUUACAACCCCUUAAAUAAUGUAUAUAUUAUUAGACUUUUCAUAAUAAUUUGAAACAAAUUUUACCUGUCGUUUAUGUUAUUCCCUUCAUACUUUGUUAGGAUCGACUUUUGAAUCACAUGUAUAACCUAACCGCUAGUAUUAAGGUAAUAGUUUCUCUAAUUACAAUAAGAGCUUGUAUUUAUUGUAUUUGUAAAGAACUGUGGGCUCAUUGGUUGUGAUUCUAAGUGACCUCAUUACACUUGGAUUUGAGGCUCCACAAAAAUUAACCUCAAUAAAAUUUAUUUCAUAUUAUGGGACAUGCAUAAUAUAUUCGUUUCAUAGAAUAAAAUAUAUAUUUUUAAUACAGAAAUUGUAAUAACCGAAAUUAAUUUGUAAAAUUUAAAAUUUAUGUAUAAAAUUUAAUUUUUAAUUUUAUAAAUUAUUAUUUAAUGUAAACAUAGGAAAAAAAAUAGGUAAAAAAUGAAAUUAAAAAUAAUUUUGGAAGAAAUGUGUGAAAAUUUGGAUUCUAAAGGUGUUUCUGAAAGAAAAAUCGAAAACUUGGAGUCAAAAUAUAAUUUAUAAAAAAUGUGUCACGUAGGACGCCUAGUCAAUAACUCCGACGAAUCGGAGCAUGCUUCGUGGCAAGGCACGCUGACGCGAUGCCACGCGGGAGGCCACGCUGACGAUCCGCGUACCCGCGACCGGACGGUCCAGAUCAAAUCAUGAUAAACGAUCAAGACUCACUUCCUAUUUAAACGCGAUCGGUCGAUCCAUGUCAAAUGCGAUAGACGGUUCAAAUUAAAAGAAGACGGAUAUAAAUACUCUUCUUCACACCAAACCCUAACCCUAGCCAUAAGACCCCCCCGUCGGAGAAGAAGAGCCAGUCACCGGGAAGGGAGCCGACCGUCGUCCGCCGCCACGCCUUAGCCACUUCCGACUAACAAAAAAGGUAAAAAAAUUUCAAUUCGCUCGAAAUUCAAUUUUAAACACCCAAAUGGUCAAAUCAGAGCAAAAGAACUUGUGGAUAAGAUAGAAAUCACGAGUAAAUCCCGAUGGCACCAUCGUAGGAAAAAGUAAAAACUACAUCUGAUGAGGCUCUUUCUAAUUCUCCUUUCGUGUAAUUUUUUUACCAUUGUAAUCACCAUUCUUUUUUCUACAGGUUGACCGAAGCAAAACACCCAACCACAAAGGUGAGCCGGUAAAGCUGUUGCACCAAAAACUCCACAGCCAAUAAACUUGGGUUUUUCAACUUUUUUUUGCCAAUCGAUACCCAUUAACAUGUUUUCUCGUAGGAAAAUGUACAAAACUAGCCGAAAUUGACUAAAACUGGCCAAAAACAGCUAACUCGAAGCAAACCGCGGUUACAAGCGGUGGUGCCGUCGUCGGAGCAUGGCAGAGCUGUCGUGCCGGAAUUUCAGAAUUGGCCAAAAAUAAUUUCUAACACUGAUUUUGAAUUUUUUUGGGUAUAUCUAGGUACUUAAAAUGUGUUUUAAUCCCCGAAAAAAAAUAUAGGGAACUCGAGAAUCGUUAGUAGGCACAGCUGAAAGUUUAGCAUUUCGGACAUCAAUUUGAGUAAGAAUUUCUCACCUUAUUCCUUGUUAUGGAAUUGAAGUAAAUAAUGUGGUCUUUUGUACAAAUUAUAAUGGAGGCAGAAUCGAUUAUUUAUUACUGUUUACCAUGUUUAACUGAGUGAUUUAUUUUACAGUUUGAAUGCUUGAUAAUACACCUGAAUUGGUAUGAUAACUCAUUUGUAUUUUUUUGAUAUAUAUAUUGCAUGUUUUACAUAAUUUACAGUUAAAAUUGAAAAAUUAGAAGAUACAUAGAAAAUCCUACCAUGAACAUUGCCUCAUACGGGACAGGGUAUCGAGUAUUGGUAAUUUGGUGCUCAUACCGGAUGGGGUAUGGGGACAGUCCGUUUCAUCCUCAUACUGGACAAGGUAUUGAGAGAUUGUAUUUCUUGGCGCUCAUACUGAAUGGGAUAUGGGGACGGUCCUUAGUUGAAAAUAUUGAAAAAAGAUUCACACGUAGUAGGGACAUCCCAAUGGACCUUCACGGAUACAAGUAGGCUAAUAAAUGAAAAAAUUGUUGUUCCGAUUAAUUGAAUAUAAAAUUAUGAUAUUGUUAUAUUAUUGACUCUAUAGGUCAGUUUUAGAAAUCUCGCUACGGUAAACAUGCAGUAAAUGAUUUUAUUUAUGAUAAACGAAUUUUACUUAAAUUAAGAGCUCCAUUAAUUAUUUUUAUCAUUUCUACCAACUUUUAUUUCUGUGUCAGUAAGUAGCGUGAUAUUUUUACUGUACUAGUAUAGCUCACUCUCUCAAUUAACUAUUUCAGAUCGAGAAGACCAAGAUCCAAAGACCGAUCUGCAAGAGGGUUGCGAGUAGAAUGUUUAGUUUGUUUACUUCUCAUUUAUUUCUUUGACUAUUAAUUAUUCUUUUAGAAUGGUCAUUCUCGUAACCCUAUUGGGUAUCCUGAAUUAUUGUCUAAGAAAUGUAAACCCUAACGUUAUUAUUUCACUUUCGCACUUAAUUUAUAAUUUAUUUUCUUUCAAGUCCAUGGACUGUUACAGUUGAUAUCAAAGCCUUGUUUCUCGGAACCAUUAAUUGCACAAAAUCCUUAGGAAACACCAAAAAUUAUGAAUUAUCACUCAAUUAUUUUUUUGUGAAAUGCAGGUACAAAUAGAUGAGGAGAGGAAGACUCCCACUAAACCGAGUAGUCUGGGAGGGUUCGCUUCAAGAGGAUGUUGAUUGGCUAUUUGAAAUACUGGAGAGACUUAUUGUUGUCCAGCAUGUCCGGAAGGAAAGGAGGGAACUACCCAACUCUCCCCUGCUGCCCUAGUUGAGCCACACCUGCAGCGAGAGGAUCCUGAACUACCCUGGUUCGACUCUGCUCCUCCACAGUACCAUCUAGCACCACCACAGUAUGAUCCGGUACUCCAACCACAUUAUCACUCGGCACCACCACAAUAUAGCCCAAUCCCCCAACUGCAUCACCCAACACUACCACGGUAUAAUUUGGUGCCUCCACCGUAUCAUCCAGUACCACCACUGAUCUGUAUCAUCUUGACUUGGUUCUUCUUUUUCUAUUUUUUUAAGAAAAGAAUACCACUUCUCCUACCCGUAUCGAAUAGAACAUGCUGAGCCAAAUCUUCUUCAUGUAAAACCAACUUGAUUUAGAUUGGGAGGAGUUAAGUUCUUUUGAUGGGCUACUAUGAGAUACAACACUGUGAUCUCCAUUGGAAGUACGACAUUGUGGCCAUAGGUUAAGGCAAAUGGAGUCACUCCCGUAACUUGAGUGAUAGACUUACGAAUCUCAUCCGGUUGACACCCCCUUUUUCAAAGAGAGCAUUUUUUAUAGUGACUGCCCCAUGGGAGACCGCUACAAGGCCAUCCAGUUCAUCCUGAACACAAUCUAGUCCCUCUUCCAAGGGACCUAGUUCUUCCCAUGAUGGACCCAGACUACAUUGAGAUGUAUAAAAGACUAAAUUCAUCUACUUUUGCAGGGGCAUCAUCCUUUAAAGAGGCCGAAUACUGGUUGACUAAGACAGAGAGGCCUUUACGACUCUUGGGGUGAUUCCCAAAUAGAGAGUCAUACUUGCCACCUACAUGCUAAUGGGAGAGACAGGCCGCUGGUGACAACUCAAGCAGGCCACCCAGCUCGUUCAGUCACUUGAGAACAAUUCUUGACAGCCUUUAAUGUAGAAUAUCUUCUAAAACAUCUCCGACAUCUGAAGAAAAUGAAGUUUGCACACUUGUUCCAGGGUGACAUGACUUUAUCAGAAUAUGCUCAAAAGUUUCUAGAGUUGGGCCGGUAUUCCCCUAAGAGCAUGAUUGAUGAAGGUAGGAACGUAAAAAAGUUCGAGUGGGGUCUCCGUCUUGAGAUCAGACAGCAACUGUAUGUGUUCGAGCUUAAUACUUACUCGGCUGUUCUAGCCAAAGCACGUCUAGUGGAUAAGAACCUUUGCAUUUUUCCUCCAACAAUAGGGAACCCCAGGCCCUCAGCUUCAUACCGCGGACCAGCAUCUACUACAUCUGUUCAACAGAACAAGAGACCUAGGCUGAUGACUUAGGCUCCCCCUCAAAUUCUAAUAACAGGACGUUGUAGGACUUGCUAGCACUGUGGCAAGGAUCAUUGGAACCAACCCUGCUAUUGCUUUAACAAUACUUACUGCAUAUGUGGGAGUGCUCAACAUUAUACGAGAAAGUGCCCGAGAAAUCAGAACUAGGUCAGACCUCCUAUCCAAGACAGGGCUUACAACCUCACUCAGCAAUAUGCAGAAGCCAACUCAUACGUGGUACAGGGUACGUACACUAUCUGUAAUCAUCUUGCAUAUGUUUUGAUUAAUACUGGUGUCUCACAUUCAUUUGUUUCACAUAUUUUUGCAUCAACCUUAAAUGUAUUACUUGAAAAUUUUAAUUCUAUGUUAUUUGUGUCUACUCCUGGGAGUAUGACACUAUUGGGAGAGGUUAUAUAUAGAGUCUGUAUCAUAGAUAUAACAGAUAAGAAAUUGAGUAUGGACCUAAUAGAGAUCGACACGAGGGACUUUGAUGUAAUCCUAUAAAUGAACUGGCUAACAGCGUAUCACACCACCGUAAAUUAUUUUCAUAAGAAACUUGUAUUCAACCCUCCUAAUGAGGAUUCAUUUACAAAUUAGUAAAAAAAUUUAACAUUUGUUCCCUCAUGGCAAAUUUUUCUAUUAGCAAGUGCUUUAAUCCGGCUGUUUUCUCUAACUAAGCAAACUCAAUAAAUAAAUUUAUAUUCAAGAGAUUUCAGUAGUUUGAGACUUCUCGAAUAUAUUUCCGGAUGAACUACCUAGACUAUUAGUAGACAGAGAAGUUAAAUUCAUCAUAGACCUUCAGCCAGGUACCCAGCCUAUUUCAGUUGCUCCUUACCGCAUGAGCCGUGUUGAGAUAGAGGAGCUGAGAAAACAUAUUAAUGAAUUAUAGGAUAGUGGAUUCAUCAAACAUAGUGUGUCCUCUUGGGGUGCUGGAGUCAUAUUUGCAAGAAAUGGAAAUUGGACGUUGAGGUUAUGUAUCGACUAUAGAGGUCUGAACAAGAUCACGAUCAAGAACAAGUACCCCCUCCCCAGAAUCGAUGAUCUUUUUUAUCAGUUGUAGGGUGUCCAGGUCUUCUCUAAGAUAGACCUGCGUUCAGGUUACCAUUAGGUAAAGGUCAAUGCAAAAGGCAUUCCCAAAAUAUCAUUUCGAACCAAGUACGGACAAUAUGAGUUGUUAGUCAUAUCAUUUAAACUAACCAACGCACCAGUUAUAAUCAUGGAUUUGAUGAAUAGGGUUUUCAAAUAAUUCCUGGAGCAGUUUGUCAUUAUCUUUAUCGAUGAUAUCCGUUUAUUCAAAAAGCAGAGAGAAAUAUGCUCACCAUCUGAUUCAAGUUUUGCAGGUUCUCAGAGAAAAAAAGUUGUAUGAAAAGUUGAGUAAAUGUGGGUUCUACCUCGAGCAGAUUACCUUUCUAUAACACAUCAUAUUAAAUGAUGGAGUGUCAGUGAAUCCCAAAAAAGUUGAGACAGUGCGCGGCUAGGAAAAAUUGACUCAGUCAAGGAGAUACGUAGCUUUCUAGGGAUGGUAGGUUAUUAUCGUAGGUUUGUGAAAGGGUUUUCUAGCCUAGCUACUCAUUUGACUCGGCUCAUAAAAAAUAACGUCAAGUUUGAGUGAAACGAGGAUUGUGAAAGGAGUUUUUUCAUAAUUAAAGAAAUGGUUGACUACCGCACUUGUGGUGGCCUUGCCGAGCGCGUCGGAUGGAUAUACAGUUUAUAGUGAUGCCUCCUACCUAAGGUUGGGUUGUAUUCUGAUGCAGCAUGGGAAUGUCAUAGCCUAUGGGUCCAAACAGUUGAAAAGUCAUGAGAAAAACUACCCAACGAUGACUUAAAACUUGCUGCGAUUAUCCACGCCUUAAAGACUUUGCGUCAUUACUUGUAUGGGGAGACCUUUCAGAUUUAUAUUGACCACAAGAGCUUGAAAGACAUAUUCACUCAAAAGGAUCUCAAUAUGCAUAAGAUAAAAUGGAUAGAACUUCUCAAGGAUUAUGAUUGCAACAUCUUACAUAACCCGGAUAAAGACAACGUGAUAGCUGAUGCACUCAGCAAAAAAAUUGCAAGCAUAUUAGCUCACUUGAUGAUUUCAGAAUAUAGGGUAAUAGGAGUCACACAACAGGUAUAACUUCAGGACCUGAAGAGAGUCACAUGUUUGGUCUAUCUAACUAUUCAACUCGAGUUAAUCGAGAGGAUAAAGGAAGCUCAGUCCGCUAAUUCCACCCUAGCAACUCUCAAGAAAGAUGCAGAACAGGGAAUUAAUUCAGAAUUUCGAGUCUCUAUCGGUGGGUUGCUUAGAUGUCAGGACAGAGUGUGUGUUCCAGGUGACAGUGAGUUGAAAAGGGACAUCAUGACAGAGGCCCAUAGCUCAAAGUUUGUCAUGCAUCCCAGAAGCACUAAGAUGUAUCAAAGUAUGCGACCCCGAUUUUAGUGGAACAAGAUGAAAAGAGAUGUGGUCGACUUUAUUUCUAAGUAUUUGGUAUGUCAGCAAGUCAAGACAGAGCAUCAACGUCCAAACGGACUACUUCAGGCAUUAUCAAUUUCGGAGUGGAAGUGAGAAUAUAUCACAGUGGAUUUCGUGAUAGGAUUGCUUAGAGCACACUAGGGACAUGAUGUCAUUUUGGGUAAUUGUUGACUGACUCACUAAGUCUUCCCACUUCUUAGCCAUCAAGAUGACUGAUCCCUUGAACAAGGUAGCAAGAAUAUAUAUCCGGGAGAUAGUCAGGUUAAUGGAAUGCUAAUGAUAGUAGUGUCCGACAGGGACUCCAAGUUCACUUAUCAGUUCUAGUCUAAUUUUCAAUAAGCUAUGGGAACGAAAUUGUCUCUUAGUACUGUAUUCCACCCUCACACCGAUGGACAAUCAGAAAAGACGAUCAGCACACUGGAGGAUAUACUACGAGCUUGUGUUCUUGACUUUGAGGGCCAUUGGGAUGAUCAUUUAUCCCUAAUAGAGUUCGUCUACAAUAACAGUUACUAAACAAGUAUUGACAUGACUCCAUACGAGGCAUUGUAUGGCUGUCCAUGCAGAUCGUCGAUCUGUUGGGAAGAAGUGGGUGAUAAAAAAUUAUUUGGCCCAAAUCUUGUAGAGGAGACUACAGCCAAAAUAGUUAAAAUCAGGAAGAACAUUCAGACGGCUCAGAGCAGACAUGUAGCGCCCGGACCGAGAAGGAGGAAAAAAAAAAAAAACCACGUCGGCAGCCACGUCAGCAGGCCCGGUCAGCAGUCUCGGUCAACCGGAACCUGCCACGUGGUAAAACCACGUUGUUCCAAAAAGGGCCACGUUGGCGAUCCGCGUGGUGUGAUCGGACGGCCCAGAUCAAGCGUGCGAUCGGACGACCCAGAUUUAAAACGCACGGACGGUCCAGAUUAAAACAAAAAUGGACGGCUGAGAUCAAAAAGGCAAGGGGUUAUAAAUAGAAACCCCCACACCAGACCACAAACCCUAGCCGCCUGCCGCUCGACGGAGAAGACGAACCAGAAGCUGGCCGCCGCCACCCGCCGCCGCACCGGAGGAACUUCCGACCGCCGAUCGAGGUAAAUUUCGUACCCCUGACUCGUUUUUCCAUGCUGAUUCCUCCUGUGGCCAAAUCGGAGCCAAAAUCCCAGCCAAACGGCCAGAAUGCACGACCGAAGCCCAGCGGCGCCGCCGCGCCCUUUUCGGUUUUUGCCUCCGAUGAGGCCCUUCUCGGUUUUUGCCUUCGAUGAGGCCCAUCUCGGCCUCCGUUUGAUGCAAAUUUUAUAUCACCGUGAUCACCACUCUUUUCUCUACAGGUUGACCGGAGCCGAAUCACCAAAACACGAACCUCGCCGGAGAGCUGCCGCACCCGAUAGCGCCGCCGCCGGUAAGCUCCGUUUUUCCGUGAUUUUUUGGCCCCCCGAGGGCCCUAGGGUUGUUUUCUCGCAGGGACCGAUGCGAGUGUGGCCGAAUUCGGCAAGAAACGGCCGAAAAUAGCCAACCCGAGGCGAAUCGCCGCCUCCAGCGGCGGCGCCGUCGCCGGAGCACGGCGGAGCCGCCGUGCCAGAGUUGCGAUUUGGGCCGAAAGGGGCCCUGGGCCUAAUUUGGGAUUUUUUUUGGAACACGUGCAGGUACCAGUAGUGCGUUUCAGUUCCCCGAGGAAAAUUCAGGGAAAAUUAGGGACAGCCUGUAGGCGCACUGCGAAGCCGUGUUCGGACCCCGAAACGAGUAAGGACCCCUCACCCUAUUUCCUAUCACGGUUUUAAAGUUCAAUAAAUGAUAAAACGGUAUUUCAUGAAUCAACGAAUGUGUGAAAUUGCUUAAGGUCGCUAAUGGAGCCCGAAUCUAGUGUAUUUGUCGGUUAACUGUUAUUUGGCCUGUUUUACAGUCUUCAAUGCAGCAUGAGGUUCGAUGUUUCCAUUUUAUGGUUUCGUAUGCAUAUUGUACUGUUUUAUUGAUUAUGGAUUGAAUGACUGGGGUGUUGAUACUGCAUGUUGUGUGUUUGGCAUAAAUUAUCGUUUAGCUUGUUUGUAUGUGAUUGAAAAUGCUGACUGAGGGAAAAGGCGAAUGAAAGAUUACGUGAAUGGAAAUUGUAUAAUGUGUUCAGCCUGACUAGAUAUCCUGGGAGAUGGUGGACGGACCGGGUCCGUAGGGAACCCUACCGGGAUUGUGGUCUCCCAUACCAGACGGGGUAUGGAGAUCUUAUGUGUUUUGGCGCCCAUACCGGACGGGGUAUGGGGACGGCCCGUUUCACCCUCAUACCGGACGGGGUAAUGAGGUCUAUGGUUUGGCGCCCAUACCGGACGGGGUAUGGGGACGGCCCGUUUCACCCUCAUACCGGACGGGGUAAUGAGGUCUAUGGUUUGGCGCCCAUACCGGACGGAGUAUAGGGACGGUCCUGGAAUAUAAUCUCAAGUGUUAAGGAUUAACGGUUAGCGGGACCCCUAUGGAUCCCUAUGGAUACUAGUGGGCUUGUGAAUUAGGAAAAUAUGUUGUGAAACUAUUGAAUUACGAAAAGUGUGAUAGGUAUUAUGUUAUACAGUUCAUAUAUAUGUUUUCAUGAUGAUGAUGAUGUUAUUGCUUUCGUAUAUUGUUUUAUGAAUUUCACCGAGGUGAGUAAAUGGUAAAGGUUUUAUUUUCGAUAAAAGGAUUUGUUGUAAAUUAUGCUCCAUUGGUCUUUUUGUGUUUUUCUACCCACCUUUACCUCCGUGACGGUGAGAUAUCGUGAUGUCUUUACUGGGCUAGUGUAGCUCAUUCUUUAUUUAAUCAUUUCAGAUCAAGAGGACAUCGUUCCCGAGCCGCUUCCGCAGGAGGACGACGAAGGGGACGCCUAAGGACUCCAUAAUCACCUUCGUAGUUUUUACUUUCAAGUUUCUCCUUUAGGUAGUUUAAUCUUUUAUAUUUUGUGAGCACGUUUUGGUUUUAGUGUAAGGGAUGUUAUUCAAAUUUUGACUUCGCUUCCGCAUUUGAUAUUUUUAAUAUACACUCCAUUUUAAAUUUCCGGGACCGUUACAAGACAGAAGAGUUAUGCGGUUACCCGGAUGAGGGAUUUAAAAUUUGAGAAAGAUGAUUGAGUGUUCCUUAAUGUCACUUCUUUCAAAUGAAUUAGUAGGUUUGGCAAGAGGAAAAAACUAAAUUUCUAGUUUAUUGAGCCAUUUGAAAUCUUAGACAGAAUUGACAUCAUCACUUACAGGCUGGUACUGACUCCAGAACUAUUCAGGGUCCAUAAUGUGUUCCAUGUGUCUAUGUUAUGUAAAUACAACUCGAACCCCUAUUACGUCCUGGCCCAUGAGCCCCUUUUGCUCUAGGAGGAUCUGUCUUACGAAGAAAUACUGGUGGGUAUUGUGGACCGAAAGAGCAGAGUACUCUGCAACCAAGAAAUUCCCUUUGUUAAGGUCCUAUGGCAUAAUCACACACACAGAGAGGCCACAUGGGAGCUAGAAGCAGACUUCAAAAUCCAGUAUCCCCAACUGUUUGAUUGAAUGAGAGAGAGGCAAAUUUGAGGAACCAAAUUUUCUUUAAGGGUAGAGAGUUGUAAUACUCGAAAUUAAUUUGUAAAAUUCAAAAUUUAUGUAUAAAAUUUAAUUUUUGAUUUUAUAAAUUAUUAUUUAAUGUAAAAUUAUGAAAAAAUAGGUGGAUGAUGAAAUUGAAAAUAAUUUUGGGAGAAAUGUGUGAAAAUUUGGAUUAUGUAUGUGUUUUUGAAAGAAAAAUCAGAAACUAUGAGUUAAAACAUAAUUUAAGAAAAAUUUGUCACAUAGGACGCCUAGUCAGCAGCCCCGACGAACAGAAGCGUACCGCGUGGUAAGGCACGUUGACACGGUGCCAUGCAGAAGGCCAUGCUGGCGAUCCGCGUGCCCGCAAUUAGACGAUCCAGAUUUAUUUCCGCACUCGUCGAUGGUCCGGAUCUAUUCCCUCCUUAGAUGUGAUUAGACAGUCGCGAUUAAACAUGAUGAACGGUCUAGAUCCACUUCCUAUUUAAACACAAUCGGACGAUCUAGAUUAAAUCACGAUGAACGGUUCAGAUUUAUUUCUUAUUUAAAUACAAUCAGACGGUUCAGAUAAAAUGCGAUGGACGACCCAGAUUAAAAAGAGACAUAUAUAAAUACUCAUCUUCACACCAAACCCUAACCCGAGCUGCCAUACCCCCCGCUAGAAAAUAAGAGCCAGUCGCCGAGAAGGGAGCCGACCACCGUCACCGCUGUGUCGGAGCCACUUUCGACCGCCAAAAGAGGUAAAGUUUUCCUUAUUUGCUCGAAAUUCAAUUUUAAAUACCCCUAUGACUAAAUCACAACAAAAGAACUGGUUGAUGAGCGAAAAUCGCGAGUAAAUCUCGACGGCGCUGCCGCGAAAAAAAGUAAAAAUCACCUCCGAUGAGGCUCUUCUUGAUUCCCAUUUCAUGUAAUUUUUCUACUAUUGUAAUCACUAUUUCUUUUUCUAUAGGUUGACCGAAGCAAAAUAUUCAACCGUGAAGGUGAGCCCGCGAAGCCGCCGCACCGAAAAACUCCGUCGCCCGUAAGCUUUGAUUUUUUUUUACUUUUUUCAGCCAACCGCCGCCCCUUAAUGUGUUUUCUCGCAUGGAUGGGUACAAAACUGGUCGAAAUCAGCCGAAAAUGACCAAAAACAACCAACCCGAGGUAAACUGCCACCGCAGGUGGCAGUGCCAUCGCUGGAGCACGAUGGAGCCGCCAUGCCGGACUUUCAGAAUUUGCCAAAAAGGGUUUCUAACACUGAUUUUAAUUUUUUUGAGUAUUUGUAGGUACUUGAAGUAUGUUUUAAUCCUCAAAAAAAAAUUUAGGGAACCUGGGACCGCUAGUAGACGCAUUUGAAAGUUUAGCAUUUCGGACAUCAAUUUGAGUAAGAAUCCUUCACCCUAUUCCUUGUUAUGGAAUUGAAAUUUAAUUAUAAAUAAUAUGGUCUUUUGUACAAAUUAAAAAAUAUCUAUAAUUAAUUACAUGUUACUAAUGAAGUCAGAACCGGUUAUUUAUUACUGCUUGUCAUGUUUAACUGAUUGACUGAUUUUACAGUUUGAAUGCAUGAUAAUACACCCGAAUUGGUAUAAUAACUCAAUUGUAUUUCCUUGAUGCAUGUAUUACAUGUUUUACGUGAUUUACAGUUAAAAUUGAGAAAUUGAAAAUUAAAGGUAAACGAAAGAUUGUUUAAUUAAGUGAAAAGAUGAAUGAUAACCUUACUGGAUAUCCUUAGAGAUUGUGGACGGACCGGGUACAUAAGGAACCCUACCCUGAACGUUGUCUCAUAUCGAAUGGGGUAUCAAUGAUUGGUAAUUUGACACUCAUACCGGACGGAGUAUGAAGACGGUCCGUUUCACCCUCAUACCGAAUAGGGUAUUGAAGGAUGAUAUUUCUUAACACUCAUAUCGGAUGCGGUAUAUGGACGGCCUGGUAGUUGAAAAUGUUAAAAAAAAGUUCACGCGUAGUAGGGACAUCCCUAUGGAGUCCCAUGGAUACCAGUAGACUGAUAAAUGAGAAAGUUAUUGUUCCGACUGAAUAUAAAAUUAUAAUAUUGUUAUGUUAUUGACUCUAUAGGUCAGUUUUAGAAAUAUGCAGUAAAUGAUUUUAUUUAUGAUAAACGAAUUUUACUUAAAUCAAGAGCUCUAUUAGUUAUUUUUAUGAUUUUUACAAAUAUUAAUUUAUGUGUCGAUGAGUAGCGUAAUAUUCUUACUGGGUUAGUGUAACUCACUUUUUCAAUUAACCAUUUCAAAUCAAGAGAAUCAAGAUUCAGAGCCCAAUCCAUAAAAAGGUUGUGAGUAGAACAUUGAAUUUGUUUAUUUUUCAUUUAUUUUUUUGAUUAUUAGUUAUUUUUUUAGAAUAGUCAUUUUCAUAAUCUUAUUGGAUAUCAUAAAUUAUUGUGUAAGGAAUGUAAAGCCUAACACUAUUAUUUUGCUUUCGCAUUUAAUUUAUAAUUUACUUCAUUUCAACUUCACGAGCCGUUUCAGAAAUCUUAAGAUAUUUGUAAACAAUAAAUAAUUUUUUUAAAAAAUAUAUUUAUAAAUUUUAAAAAUAGAAAAUCAGAUAAGUUGAUUUUUAAAAAUAUUUUUAAAUUUUUAAAUAAUAUAGAGAGUUAAAAACCAACUAACAAAUAUUUAAUAUUAUUUUUGUCUUUUAAAAAGAAUUAAAAGAAAUAGUAUUGUUAACAAUAUUUAAUUUAAUUAAUUAAAAAAAGGUAAAUACACAACUUUUUAUUAACAGGAGAGCAAAAAAUAAAAAAUAGAAAUGGCUAAAAAAGUAGUUUUUGAAGGGCCUGCUUGCAAAAUAAAUAAAUAAAUAAAACUAAUCUCUGACACGCAAACGAUAAUCAUCAUCUCUCCGUCCAAGAGGAACACGGUCAUCAUUGAGGGUUCGGUUAUUGACGAAAAGGACCUGAAAUCAAGACCAUUAGGCGAAGAAAUCAUGGGCGGCCAUGACGCGAUGGAGGUUGCCAAGACAGUUUUGGAGGUUGCUGACAUAGCAUGGACUGCCGUGGACUGCUGCCACCAUCACGGCAACCCCCAUAAGACGAGGAAUCUCAUGAUGAUCAAUACUUACUCGACGGUGAUGAGACCAAAGUUUUGGGACGAGAAUUGGAAUCUCUUAGUCAGAAAACCGGGCAUCUUAGAGCUUACUCGAGCAAAACCUCAAGCUUCUCAAAUCUCUCCGAAUCUCCCGCUCUAUUACAGAUUGCCCUCCAGAUGNNNNUGUAAAUUGCGUGUUCAUUUCGUUUUUAAAGAAAAUUUUGCUUCUAUAUCUUGAUUGUUGAGCUUUCUUUACUUUCGGGAAAUGACUAUGUCAAUGAGUGUAUGGGCGUCGUUCAUGAGAAGAAGUCUAAAGUUCAAAUGAUGAGUUGGUAUUUCUUUUUUUUGUUAUUUGGGUAUGGUAUGGGGUUCAAUUAUCAAUUUCGUUAUGCCGUUUUUGUUGGAAGUUCAUACUUUUAGGAUACAAAUGCUACUGACUUUUUCAUGACAUGGAGAGUCCUGCUUAACUUUCCUGCUUAGCUUUUUGGUUGAGAAAUGGCAAUUUUUUAUCGAUGUUAAACUAUAAUUUUCACUCUAGAUUGAUUUUUUGUCUUAAUCUUGCGCGUAAUUUCUUCUUUCCUCAAAAAAUGCAGCUGUACAAACGUCUAAUAUCUACUGUGAAUUCUAAGGAUUUCUUGACUCGGCUAAAUUCUUUUAGCCAGGCAUCAGUAGAUGGAACUGGCAACGAGUUCCCAUUCAGAGAGCCCACAGGUUGUUGCAUCAAACCAAUUGCUGUUCUCUCUAUGUGUACAUUGAUUUCUGCUGUACCUACAUUUGUUUGUUAAGUUGUAUAACCAUAUAAUCUACCUUUCCUUUUGGGUCAUUGAUUAGGAGAAGAUUUGCAUUCAGCUGAAGUCCUCAUUAAUGUUGACCAUGAUCAACCCAGUUGGUGGGUAUGGGUCACUGAUGACAUGGUUCCAAGUAAGGUCGAAGAACGAAGUGGAAUUGAUGAUGAAAAUUAUGUAAUUAUCACUGAGGAACACGUGGUAGAUGGCAUUGCCAACUUUAUGGCUAAAUGCAUGAUUUCACAUCCAAAAGCUCGGGUACCAGGCAAUUUAAACGUAAUGAUCAAUAUUAACUCUUCAGGCUGUGCCUUACACAUUUACAUUCUUGGAAUUGCAGGGUUUGGCACCAGAGGAGCUGCAGAAAAGUAAGUUCACAGUUUUAACUUUUUUCUUUCUGGCUUUAUCUAAAGCAGGCCAACCUGCUUAGAGCAUGUCUAUAGUUACAGGCCAGAAUGUGCAACCCCGGAACUAGAGCCAGGGUAUAAGUUCACAGCUUCGCCAACUGAUCUCAAUGCUUUUCUGCCUGUAAAAUAUUAAGAUGUAGAACCUUAUGAUUUUAUUGUCACAUGAUUCAUAAGGAAAUUAAUCUCUAGUUUUUCGUCCUGUUACUAUCUUAGUAAUUAGCUAUUCAUGGGCAUGCAUGAAUAUCAACUUGAUGAACAUCAAAGCACUAGAAUGCAUUAUUGUGUGCAUGAGGUCAUGAAUGAUUUGGCACUGUUCAGUUGAUUUUUUUCUUUGUUUUCCUGAUGGAGCAUGAUUCUUUCAAUUGCCUAACUUGAUGCCUUGGACGUUAUAAAACCUGUGUUCAUCUGUUUUUUGAGUUCAUUGAUUGGCCGAAUUCAAUAUUUUAGCUCUACGCUUAGCACCAUUUACCCAACUUUGGUAUGAACUAUCUGGAUCCAUCAUAGUAUAAUUCUGAUUAGUUAAAUUUAUUUUGUUACUUAUUUUAGUGACGUCAAUCAUUUUGUAGUUUUGGCCAAAGAGUUGGGUGGUGGGAGCAAGCUGGAGAAGCUGGAGAAGGUGAUGAAUAUUUGGCAUGCUGGAAAAAUGUUCUAUACGCUCUCAACAUGGGGGCUUGCGUUAAUAGGGUGAGUUGUACUUCAUCUUUCAAGCAUUGCUUGCAUUCAUUGGCACUCACGGUAAAUCACUGCUCGAGGUUGUCAAGGGAAAAAUAAAAAGGAAACUAGUGAAUAAAUUUAAAACCUAAUAUUUUACGCAUUUAUUAAAAGAUGGGAACUAUACUUCCAUUUUCAUACAGAGAAAUCCAGAAGUUUUUGCGAUCAACUGUCUUCUUCUCAAUUGAGUAACAUGAAACUUUUUUACCAUUAAGAUAGUAAUCAAGUGUUACACACCUAGUGCUUCAAGCAAAAGAUAUUGACAAUGUUAAUGUAGGAAAUUUUUUUUGACAUUUUGGAUAAUCUUAUAUCUUCCUUGAAAGGAAUUUUAUUUAGAGAGCUUUUUAGACUACUUUGGUCUUACUGAGCCGCACAGACAGGCUAAUUUAACGUAGUAACUAUGACUCAAACAAGACAUUGUAUAAUGAAAUAAGAGCAGCCACAUUAGUAGCCUUGCUACUCAGUUCUUUUUCCCUAAAAAAAAUAACAUACAAAUGGGCUUUUAAUGGAUUUUCUGCUUACAUCUUUUUGAAUAGAUUUUUUGUUCUGUUGAUCUGAGUUGUGCCGUUAUGAAAAUCCCAGUAGACAUAAGACUGCUUUUUCUCCAUUCCUUUAAAAUAUACUGGAGACAAGUUAAAUAUGUUUCUUUUCUCCUUUUUUGACAUGGGUUUUUGAUUCAGGUUGUACAGGAGCCGUGGUGUUUUAAAAAUUGCAGCAAAGGGUGUUCACAAAACGGCCAUGGUUGUUCUAAAGGCUCUCUGAAGUACCGUUUCCACUAGAUGAUUGUUGUCGCGUAAUCAAUUUAUACCCAAAAAAUUCAUGCUGUUUGCGUGUGUGCAUAAUAGCUGAACUUCCAUUCUCUUGAUUCCAUGAAGACAAAUGUAAAUAUUGUAAAUACAUGCUUUCAACUCUAUUAUAGUGAGCGACUGCAUUGAAUAUUUAAUUGAUCCAUUUCCAUGAUCAAUUUCCAAGCACAUCAUUGGUGCAUUGUCAUUGAUCAGGAUUUUACUUGUCAAGCUGGGAGUUGGCAUGUCAGGAUUUAGCUCCAGAGCUCCAUUGCAAAGCUUCUACUAAAAAUUCCUCACACUCUCUCAUAAUAUCCUUUGAAAAAAAAAAUCGUCCAAUAUGUUAUAACUCCAUAUUUAUUGGAUUUGGAAAAAAGGAAAAGAUCUUUGUGUGGACCAUGUUUAGCAGUUUGUAAUAUCUAUUUUAUUAUAUGAUAGACAUUGUAAAAGUGUUUAAUAAAGGCCAAUUUUCAGAAAAUAAAUAGUAAAAACAAGAUUAUAGAAAUGGAGUAAUUCGUUGCAAAUUUAAGUUAAAAAAUUUGGUAAAACCCAUAAAAUAUUCAAUUGACUAAACCAUAAGAUAAUUUCAACUGCCUUGAUUUCUCAAUGUUGCUCCACAGAUACUUCCCGCACAGUGGAACAAUAAUUUCAAUAAAGAUACAUAGUUAACUCUAGACACACCCCCCAACGGGUAGGAGUCGGAGUUUCAGAAGACUAACAUUCUAGUUUGUUUUUUUCCUUCUAAAGGUCAUAAUUGAAUAAAGUGACUCAACAUUGCCACCAAUGAAAUAAAUUCAUAACGAUAUAAUAUUUCACCAAUUUUGAAGUACUACAUUCAAUAGACCAGACUCGUUUGUGAAAAGUACCAAGUAAAUAGCCGGGAGAGAGGAGGUAACCAACUCUAUGCAUUCCAAAAUGUAUGACAAAAAUCAGUCCAAAAUCCUUUCAAAGUGCUAGCACCUGACUUCAUGAACGACACGAUCUUAGUAUUCUGCUGGGAAGCCACUCCUUGCUGAAAAUUUCUUUCUUGUUGUAUUAGCAAUUUAGCAGUGACAGAGUGAAGAAUCACACUGCAUACUCAGGAAAGAAGAUCAAGAGGUUGUCCAUGAAAUGCAAUGUCACCAUUUAAUAAAACAAAUUGACAAAAUAAUUUAAAGAUUCCAUUAAGCAUGUCGCCAUUAUCUAGAAGAAAAUUUGCUCCACCCUCCGCGCACAUUAACACAGUUUCUAGUCUGCAGUCAAAAUUACCGGAGUAAACAGACCUUUGCUCAUAGUUAUAAUUUUAUAAACUAGAAAAAGCACUAUAUAAUGGAGAUCAAAAACAUUUCCUCUGACAAUGCACCAUAUGGAUGGAGAGAAGUUACUUUCUAUGCUUCACAGGAGGAUAUAUAUUAUGAUUCUGGAGUCUUUCUCUUUAGAUUUGACGUGUUGGUAGCUUCUACUUGGGAUUGACCAAAUACUGACCUGCAUCACACACAAACUACAAUAAGACAAACCCAGAUCAUUAGGGGCCCCGGCAGCUUUACUAGUCCGAUUUUCCAACAAAGUAUCAGAAAGAGCUUGUUAAAUAUAAAAGAUAGCAUCUGAAAGUUCACACUAUGAGAAGAAUUGAAGCACGUAAAGCUCUACAACACAAAUAUUAAGGUAAUUGUGCUCACCCACAGGUUGAACAUUUUUUUUGAUGCUUACAGAAUAUGGACAAACAUACAGAACAGAUGUAGCCCAUGUCAAUUGUAUUCUUGUGGCAAAAACACCUGCAAAUUUCCACAAGUUGAUCAGCAGUGUAUUGUGAAUGAAGCAACAAACAGCUAUUGAUUUCUUUAGCAAGAUAACCAGAUAUCAUAUCAGGCUAAAGGGUGUUCGAGACAUAAUUAAUCAAGGAAAACAUUCUAAAGAUAAAGAUUGAGGAACAUCAUAAAUAAUGCAGUAGACUCAAAAGGAGAAGGAAGAGAGGCCAAAAUUGCUUCUCAUCCAAGUUUCUCUAAAAUUUUCUCAGAAUUAAGGAAAUAGUUCUUGGCAAACAACUGUCCUAAACAUGAGAUUAAUUCAUCUAGUGUAUUUCUAAAACAUGAGCAGAAACAUUUUAACCAGUUCUAAGUUAAAGAAAGUAAUUGUUUUUUGAGAUAAAAAGUAUAAACAGUAUAUUAGACUAUAGCACCAACAGGGUGCAAUCCAUUUACAAAAAAUAUUUACAUCUCAAUAAUACUAUCAAUGACAUAUCCAAAAUCUUCCAUCCUAUACAUGUCGUGCCCCCAAAAAAUGGAGCCAAAAUAAUGAUACCAACUGUCGUUUAGUUUAGAAAUGCCACUCUCUACCCCGUCAAAAGCCCUCCAAUUUCUUUUUUCUAGACCACCCAAAGAAUAGUUAAAGGAAUAAAUUUAAUACAUUUCUUCUUUUAACAAAUUCCCCCCACCCCACAACACCCAAAUCUCCUCCUUAACCAAACCCGCACCAACCCACAAAUGCCCAACCAUACACCAUAGACCAUAAGUUAAAGCAAGUAUUAUACAGUACUAUACUAAACAAAGGGAAGCUGUAGCCACGAUACUGUAAAAGGACAACAAUACAAAAUUCCUUGGAGUUUUAUUUGCCACCCUUUUUAUUUCUCAAGUGACAUAGGACAGCAAAAAUGAAGCAAAAAUGAAAUCAUUGUAAUCAAUGAAGCAAUAAGGAAAAACAUUAUAAAAGAGUGUGAAGUGGAAAAAGAACUAUCCACUUUGUUAAACUUACGAGGCACGGAAAUCAACACCAACAGGCUUCGGAAGUUGUAUGAAACUGCGAGAAUGCAAAUCAGUUGCAAAAAUUGUCUGAAAAGAAAGACGACAACAAAAUUAAUGCAACAAAGAAGAAGAAGAAGAAAAAGAACCUCUGCAGGUCAAUCUAAGGAAACCACUAAAGUUGUAUCAAAGGAAAAAGGAAAAAUUGUAAGUUAGAUUUUGGGAAAAUGGGAAAUUCUCUUUUUCUGCUCAUUUCAGGUGUAACCGAAUUUUGAAUCCUAGUAUAAAUAGUGUAGUUGGAGGGAAGAGGAAUAACAUAAAUUUGAAUUCAUAAUUCCUCAAAUUCGAACUCUCUUCUCUCUUAUUCUCCCUAUUCUUGCAUUCUCUACUCUCUCCCUUCUUCUCUUCUCCUCUCUAUAUCUACUCUCUUCUCUAAGAAGACAAACAAGAGCUCAUGACCAAAGCUGUUGACAAUCAUAUUUAGAUCAUAAGAACAAGUCCUAGGACCACAAGUUAAAUAAAAAGACUUAUACAUAAACCAAACUUCUAAACCCUCAGAAUACAUUGCUGGGACUAGGAUAUGAAUUAUCCAAUAUUACAAAAGUUUUGCAGUCAAAUAUAUGGGGACUUUGUCAACAAGAGUCCCAAAAUUGGGGUUACUUAAACAAAAAAUAAAAACAACAUGGAAGCUAAUGUAAUCUUUUUUGUAAAAAAAAUAGUUUGUAAAGAAAUCGGUAACAUAUAGCUAAUUAAUAACAACUUAUGCAAAAAAGUUAAAGAUUUAGACAUUCAAAAUUAGUAAUUCUGUUAGUUAGAGAAUAUCACAGCCUCUGGUUCUGGACCAUCGGGAUUUUCAGAUGCCUAACAUGCUGAUGAAUGGUCAAGCAUAAAUCCAACAUCCACACCAAUGUGUAUGAUUUCCGAUACGGGUGCGGCUCUAAAAUUGGAGAGUGCAAGCAGCUGGCUUUCAUGCAACUGGCACUGGUUAGAUCUUGCAGUGAGAAAUAGAAUUGGAAUUCUAUUUGGAUGAUUUCUCUUAGGAUUUUGAUACAUGAAAGAGUUGGAGAAUUUGGUUAAAAUAGUCAUAAAAGAAAAAAGAAGACAAGGAAACUACGUACCCUUGGAUGGAAAAAGAACUGAUUUUUUAAUAGAAAAAGGACAUAUAUCAAUCAGAAGUUAGCAAAGUGUGCCACCUGUAUGGAAAAGGAAGAAAUGUGACAGGUAUAAACCAAAAUUUCUAAGAUGUCCCCUAAAACUUCCUCAUUGGAGAUCGGGUGAUACUUGAACCAAAGGAUUGGGGUUUUGGAACCAAUUGUACCUUGAAGACCUUUAUCUUUCCCUUCUCUUAUGGAAUAAAUCUACCUUUUAAUCUUUUAUAACAGGAGAUUUAACCCUGCUCAUAUCCUCCACCAAAUUUUUUUUGAGAAGGAGGUGCAAUUAAAUCUGAAGGGCUUUGCUCAAGGAUAUACAGUUCUAACAGUAGAAGAUUGUUAUCUAAACCAAAAAGCUUUUUCAUAAGUUGUUUAAUAUUUUAAAAAAAAUAAGUUGCUUAAUAUUUUUAGGGAUGGAAAGAAUUUCGAACCUUGGUGGAUAACCUUCAAAAGUUUCACAAUUUAUUCAGAUAUCAUAGCUGGAGACAACAGAAAAUUUUGGUAUCAUAAAAAUGGUUCCAUAUUGUCUACUCAAGUGAAGAACAUACCGUGAGAUAUUGAAACAAGCCAUCCAAUUGUUGAGGUUUGUGAUGUACACCACCAGUUAUAUAGGAAGCCUGUUACUCUUGCAUCAGAAGCAAUCAAUAGAACUACUACUAGAAUAUGUAUACAUUUUUCUUUUUUUUUGGGAGAUAAGAAUACAUUUAUUACCUGCUGCAAGAAAGCAGAAUUCUGAGGACCUAUAUAACAAGAAUCUAUAGGAACCUGUCAAAGCAUGCCAAUUAGCAAGAGGCUAAAAAUUCUCAGCUCGCAAAGGCUAUGAAUUCAAAUAACAAUAAAAACAAUAGUCAUAACAAUAGUAAGAAGAAAACAUCAACAACAAUAAUAGAAAUAAAUUAAUGUAUUAAAAUAUCUGAAACUAACUAAAACCUUGCAAAAAACAACACAGUUACACUAAUUAACUCCUUGCUAUAUCUGCAUGCAGAACUUUAAGAUAUUCUAAAAUAUUAGUGAUCAAAUCAUCUCACUAAACUUGCUAACUUCAUAUGACCAAUACAAAGUUCCAUCCAACAGCCAUAUUCUACUUAGAGAGAACAUUUAGCUAGACUAUCUCAUAACCUCAACUCAACUAAAAAAAUAGGAGUUUAGACAAACUGCUUGAAUACAAUUAUGGCAAACAAAGAAAAAUGUUAUGACCAUCUAAAACCCACAUGUCGGCAAACUUUCUUUAGAAAGCCAUCUCAGUAAGAAAGACAAGAAGUUAAUUACCUGUACUAACCUUAACAUAAACAAUGAGAGAUAUGAGCAUGCAACAAUUUUACACAGAUAAAACCAUAUCUAUAUGCAUACAUGAAUAUAACAAGGAAUGAUUACUAGCUGUUACCAUGAGAUGCAAAUUAGAUCCUUAUAUAUUAUUAUUCCCAUUAGGAAAGGUAUGAAGGAAAAAAU